AUUUAAAAUUAUAUAAAAAAAUUUUUAAAUUCGAAUAUUUACUUCUAAUAUUUAAAUUAAAAACGCCGACAAUACCAAACGCAACCGGCAAAAUUUCUUCCCUCCGCCACCGCCCCCACCGUUUUCUCUCGGCUCAGUAUCGAGCUCCAAAUAAACGCAUCCCUCAACCAAAAUUUUACCCCCCAAAAAAAACUCUUCUCUCUUUCGCUCGUCUCCUCAAACGUCUCUAUUUUCCUUUAUUCUGCUCUAUUUUGAACAAAAAAAGACUUUUCUUCACUUAUUUUUCUAAUAUCUCUCACUAUCUCUCUCGAUGCCCUAGCCACCUUCCCUCACCGGAACUCCACGGGGCGCGUCGUACCGCCGGCGAUAUCUGUGGCACUAAACUUCCGGUUUGGUUUGUCUUUUUUCUAUUGGAUUCUGGAAUUAUCUUUGAAUUUGGAUUUGAUUACGCAAAAAAAUCGAAAAUGACGGCGUCGAGGAUUUGUUAGGGUUUUAAUCUUGAUGGCUGGGACUCGUAAAAGGGGAGGGAAUAAAUCAAAAGUUAAGAAUUUAAGUUUAGGAGAUCUUGUUCUUGCCAGUCAAGGGUUUCCCUGCUUGGCCUGCCAAGGUCUCUUCCUUUUUCUCUUCCCUUUUAUUUUAUUAUUAUUGUUACUUUCUUUCAUCCUGAGUUAUGGGUACUUUAUAUUUUGAUGAUUAAAUUUUUAAUUUCUUAUAUGCUUAUUUGAACUUAUAUAUUUGAAUAAAUCCAUGAUGAGUUUGGGAUUUUUUUUUUUUAAGUUUUGCAUGAUGUUGUUAAGUUUAUUUUAUGCUUACAUUGUCAUACUUUGUAUUUUAUUUGUUGCUUUUAUACUCAAUUUGUUUCCUUUAGUAAAUUUUGUUUUAUUUUGUGAAAGGCCUAUUUUUGGAGUUCAAAGUUUUGCCAUGCUUAUGUUAGCUGAUUGUGUUUUUAGUGUUUCAGGUUUGGUACUUUGCCUGUUUAUCAAUUGGGUUACUUAAUGCAACUAUGCAAGUUCUUUUUUUUUUUUUGGACUGAAAACAAGUCGGACAAAUGUGUGUUUUUUUUUUUUUUUGGCUGCAUGCUAGAUUUUUGAUCCUAGAAAGUGUCAUCAGAAAUUUAGUGAGGAAUUUUCAAUUUAUUUUUUUGUUUUUAUUAUUUUGUUACUUAGAACUCAGUUGGUUUGUUGUGAUUUUGGUUUAUGGUUGGUUUUUGAGGUAGAUUCUAUGGGCUAUAAAUUUCAGAUUAGCCGGCCUGAAGAUUGGGAGCAAGAACCUGACCAUAGGAAAUAUUUUGUCCAAUUCUUUGGAACACAAGAAAUUAAGUAUUUUUGUGUUCAAUUUGAACAUGUUUGGUGAAUGACGGAGAUGGCAACAUGAUGAAUAAAGAUAUGUGAUGUGUCUGUUUUAGGGUUUGCAUCUGUUUUCAGGUAGGAGAGAAACCACAUUUACCAUAAGAUGGAACAUGAGGUAAAUACAUGAAAGGUGUUACUGCAUAAUUUCUUUAAAAAAAUAUUAAUUUUUUUGUAUUCCAAAUAACUUGUUAUCUAUGUCAAUCCAAGCAGACAAACCUUGAUGUACACUUUUUCAUUUCCUGUCAAUGUUGUUCACAUAGGGUGCUUGCUGACUAGAGGAUACAUUGAAACUGACUUGAUUUAUUCUAUCUCUGUGCUGUCUGUAUACAUCGUUGCUUUUCUUUCCAUCCAGCUCCUGUGAUCAAGAAAUUGUAGGAUGCACAUUGUAAUAUCAACAAGGGGAAAAUUGUAAUAGGUAGGGCUCUAUGCUGAGUCCUCUAUGUGUUACAGUACUGAACCCUAGGCAGCUCUGUCAUUUAGCUUUAGGUUGCAUGAUAUAAACUCAUGGAAGCUCACCAUUCUAAUGUUCAGGGAGUACUCUUUCGCAGAUGUGAUAGUCAUGCAGAUUAUCUGGGAAUUUUAUGUCUUAUAGUUUUUUUCAUAUGAUAAUUUGAGAAAUGGUGAGAUGUCCUUUGGGUAACCGACCUUUUCAAUCUAGGAUGCAGAAAAUCAAAUAUUGAUACAAUGACAAAUGGUGCAAUAUUUUUCUACUUCUACAGGUUCUUGAUAUAGAAUGUGCAUCUUAUGUUGCCUUAAUUAAUCUUUUUUAAUGUAAUUUUAAUAUUUGAGUUAUUAUUUCUUUUGGAGUAGUGAGAGAUAUCUUUCCUCCAUUUUGUGGUUGUUGUUAGCUAACAAUGCUUAGGCUCUUAAUACAUGUGUAUUUGUGGGUUGUAGUGAAUGUUGAAGUCAUAUUGUUCAACAAAGCAAUGUGUUUAGCCUAAUUAGUAGGCAUGAUCAUUUCUUUACCACUAAAUCGUAACUGUGCUGAAUUUGAAAUUUGGUGUAGCUUUUUUGGUGUUUGAAUUGAAUGGCAUUGCAAAUUUACUUUUUUUUUUUUAUUGUUGGUGUUAAAUGGAUUUGUGGUUUAGUUAUUUUUGUAUUCUAUGUUAGAUUUAUUCUCACAUUUACAUUAACAUAGAACUUAGAAUUAUUUUUUAAAAUUUAUUGUUGAUAAUGACCAAUCUUGAUGGAGGAUUUAUUUGUAGUAUAUGGCUGUAACACAUUUAGGGUGCAAUAAUGGAUCUUUAUUUUGUGCAAUGGAACUUUUAUGUUUGUAUAAUGGAUCUUCUUGAAUGUUGAUUGGACAGUUUUUGCAGCUACAAGUAUCUUGAAAAGAAAUAAAGUUCAAACGAAUCUUGUAUAUAUUUGGAAAUAAAAAGUUUUUCAGUUUUACUAUCAUGUCAAGGUUUGCUUGAAUAAAUUACUUAAGUUGUGUCUCAGUAGCCUCCCAAAUUCUAACCAUGAAUUAGAGGAGCAUUUCUGGUUCUGGUUAUAUUCUAUAUGUUAUAGUUGAGCAGAUUGAGAUUUUAGCUGAAGUUUGUUAAGCGUCAACAUGUGGUGGUUUAGAUAUGGUAUGCUCGGAAGCCUUGAGUAAUGGUAUUUUAAAUGCCCUGAAAAUGAGUACAGGUGGAGUUUUCCUUAGAAACAUUUGCAUAAGUCAUUUAUUUAUGUGGAACCAUUGAAGUGGUUUUGGGAUAUUCGUUUUUUUGAACUUUCAUCUGUCAGGGCUUUCUUUUGGGAUUUUUUUCUCUAAAUUCUUAGACAUUUUGUUCUAUCCAUAUUGCAUAUUUAUAAUCAUGGUUAAGCUGUGAAUGCUUAAUCCUUAACCUUGGAUGUAAACUUUAUUCCCUUUUGGAUCAUAAUGACUGGACGAAGAUGCUUCUGCUCCUGAAUUAUGUAGAAGACAUUUUAGUUUGUUGAAAAUAGAAUCUGUUCUUCCUGUCUUUUGUUUAUUUUUUAAUAGUUGGUUAUAUAUUUUCCCAUAUUCCUUUAGGGCAUCAUGUUCAUGCACAUGUGAGCAAGUUGAUAAAUUUAAACAUCUGCAUCUUUUUUUUUCCCUUAAAGAUAGUGUUUAUGUAAUCAGAUUUUCAUAUUUCAUUUUUGAAGCUUUUGACUCUGCAUUUUUAGUGUAAAAAGGAGCAAUGCUUUUCAUCCCAGCGAAGAGAUGCAUGCAUGGAUCGUUAUUUUUUCUUACGCUACUCUUUGAACUUCAAUUCACUUGUGUUCUAGUUGUUUUUUUCCCACCAUGUUUUUCUUCUUUUAAAGAGCUUUUGUUGCACCUGGCAAUAUUCAAGCGUUUACCAUUGAGACAGUAAAUUGUUGGGUUAAGUAUCAAGUUGUUAAAACCAAGUACUUUGUCCAAGCUGUGAAGGAAAUCUGUGUGGCAUUUGAUGAAUUACAUAAAGAGAAGUCCAUUGGUUUGAAGAUGAAACUGAUAGAUCAACACCUGGCUGUGAGACUUCAUCUGUUGAUGGGGUUGAGGAUGACGGUGCAAGAUGCAAAAAUGCAUUUGAGAAAUCCAAAGAUGUUGAACAGCCAUUGAAAAAAAAAAAAAAAAGAAAUGAAAUGAAGUAUGGUUCUCAGGGCAUUUGAACUUAUGGAAAAGUUAGUGGGAGUGCCAACAAAAACAAGAUCCAAGGUAACUAUACAAUUGGCUGAUUUAAUGUCUUCUUCAUAUGUUGUGGCUCUCUAAUUAAAUAAUGUAAUAAUUUGUUAAUAGGGAAAAUAAUUAUUGAAAAUAAACAUCCUAAUCAUGUUAUUUACAAGGGAUGUGUAGCUGUGGAGAAUUUUAUUAUAACUGCAACAAUAGUUGGCUUCCUUAAUUUUGCCAAGAAUAUAUUGUCUGAAAAUAAGAAAUAGAUGUGUCCAUGAACUAAGAGGAGCCAAGCAUGGUUAAAACCUUGAAAUCUUUGGAUUGGUUUAAUAUUUUAAUAUUUUAAAAUAUAUUCUAAAUAAAAUAAAUUUUUUUUUUUAAUUUAUAUUAACACAAUUGACUUGAGUUGGAUUUUUUUGGUUUCAUAUGUGGUUGUGUUAUUGGAAAUAUUUUUUUUUUUGUUCUUUACAACCAUAUUGGCGACAAUAAUCAUGGUUUUCUUUAAUUGAGGGUUGCAUUUUGACCUUUCAUUACUCAAUUGUGCUUUAAGGUACAGUGAAGAUUUUUCUUUCGCAUGAAUGUGGUGAAGAUUUGGAUGAAGUUGAUUUUUGUUGCCCCAGAGAAAAUAAGUUUGUUGAUCUUUUAAAUGAGAAAAUUUUGUUUAGUUGACUGUUUAGUUAAUAUGGUUAAGGAACAAGUUGUGGAUUUGACUACUCAGAUUGUAUAGAGUGUACUUUGUUGAUUUUGUAUUUUCAACAAAGCUCUUUGUUUUCCGUCAGAACUCUAUUUUUUAUUAUUGUAUUUGCUCUGUUUAGAAGGAAGCCUUGUGUUUUUGAGCUUUUGAGGAAUGAUUUUCGGCGUAGAUUGUAGUAUAUCAGUAAGUAAAAAAGGCAACGAUUGCUGGUAGUUACCCCAAAUGAUUAUCUUUAAGAUGUUUUUGGUGUUUUGUUUUUCAAUUUGAAAUUUAAUUUGAAUUUAAUAAAAAUAUUUAAUAUUCGAAAUUAAAUUGAAUUGAAGAAAAUAGAUUGGUUCGAACUGAACAUUACAUUUUUAAAACGAUUUUUAAUUUUUUAAUUUUUUUCCUGUCCUACUGGUUAGCUUUUCUAUAUUCUUUUACGAAGAAUGAUGAUGAAAUCCUCGUUACUAUCAGGAAAAGAGUUUUGACAUUAGUAAAAUAUCAAGAAUUGACUCUCUAAUGUAUAAAAAUGGAUUAUAUUUAAGAAAAGCAGAUGCAUCAGCAUAAGUAGUACUUAAUCAAAUUGCAGAAGGAAAUUAACUUUUGGCAAGUUCUGUGAAGGUUGCCUCUCUUAUUGUUGGUAAAUUUUACUAUUUUUCCAAUUGACAUUUGAAUGAAAUAGUCAUUAAUAUUACACUCUCCCAAACAUGAUCGAAACGUUAUAGAAAAAGUUUAUAACGAGAUGAGUAAUAUUUUUUUUAGUGUGUAAAUCAAACAUAGAACAAUUUUUUUUUAGAAUUAUCAGAUAUAAAGUUUAGUUUGUUAUUAUUGUUUAUUUUGCUCAGCUUAAUCACAUACUUUCAUGUGAUAAAAUAUAUUUAAUUUUAUCAUUUAUAUUAAUGGAAUAUAAAAUUUUUAAAUAAAAAUUUAAAAAAAUCAUAAAUUAAAUUUAUCUAUUUUUCAUAUAACAAAAUACAAAUAGAUGACUAAAACAAAAUUCAAGCUUAUUAAACUAUAAUAAUUGUCUAAUUAUAUAAAUGGAAAGUAACAAACAACUAUAUCUAAAGAUGCAAUUAAAAAGUAAAAUUAUUCGAUUUUUUAAAAAAAUAAUGGGAUAAGAUAUAUUUAAUUUUUUUAUUUAUAUUUUACAUUUGAAGGAAAAGAUAUUCGAUUGGGUUAAAUUAAUAUUCAGGUGUUUAUCUUUUACAUUCUUUAGAACAAAAAUAAUCUAUUUGUAUACUAUUGAAUUAUAUAAAAUAUGUCAAUAAAUUUGUUGGUAGAGCAAUGGAAUCUUAAUUUCUAAUUCAAUCAUUGACACUUUCACAUACAAAAAAAGAAAAGUUUAAUUAUAUUCUGAUGAUACUAAAAUAUGAGUUUUUAGGCAUCAACUAGAACAUGCCACACAUAAUUAUUUAGAAGUAUGAAUAUUAUACACUUACCAAUAUCAAAUCAAUUCUCAUUUUAAAUCUUAAUACUAGUUAACUUAUUUAAAAAUAAUUAAUUAAAUAAAAUUUUAAAAAAUUAAGAAAACUUAAAUCAUUUUCUCACAUUUUUAUCUAAAAAAAUUGGAUAUGGUUAGCACCCUAAAAUUUUUUGUUCGGGCAAAUCGUCAAUGUCAUUUUUUAUUUAUUAUUAAAAUAUUAAAAAGAUUUUAAUAUUAAUAAUUUAAUAUUUUUAAAUAUAUUUUAAAUUAAAUUAACAAAUAUUAUUUAAUUAAAACAUAAUAAGCAAUCGACCUUGAUUGAAACUUUAAAAAUUUUAUUCAAUAUUCGAUUAAGUGAAGACUAACAGCUAAUCUAAUGCACAGACAAAUCUAAUAACAAGAUAUCAUAGAAUCAUUUAUGCUAUUUUAUCGGACAAAGUUUUUACGGUGGCAAAUAAUAAAAACAAAGUAUUUCAUUGCAAUCGAAUAUAUUGCUCAAAAAAUUAAAAAAAAUAAAAGACCAUUCAUUUACUCCAAUGAUCAAGAUUUGUAGGACAAGAGAAAAACAAAUGUAUCAACAUCUAUCAGUUAUAAUUAAUUAAAUUGCAAAUUGAAGGAAACUUUGGCAAGUGAAGUCAAGGUCUUCUAUUUCUGUAUCUUUCUCAAUCUCAGUAGUUGUAAAUUCUACUAUAUAGUGACAAUUUUAUAUUUUUAGUAAUAAAAAUGCAUUUUGUUAGAUUAUAUUCUUCAAAAUGACACUUGAAAAUAUUAGUCAUUAAUAUCAUACUCCCUUAUUUUUCUAUAACGUGGUGAAAACGUUAUAGGAAAAUUAUGCAAUAAGACAAUUAGUAUUUUGCUUAGCGUGUAAAACCAAACAUAAGAUUUUAUUUUCUGCAAAACUAAAACUUUCUUCAUGCUAUAUGCUCAAUGCAGUUGCGUUAUUAGAAAUUUUUAAAUAUCUGAAUAUCUGCAUUUAAACCAAAUCAAAUAAGAAAAAAAUUGAUCCCAAUCAAAUAUUAUAUUUUUGAAUAGAUUUUUUAUUUAUUUUAUUUUUAUCUUAUUCUACAGUUUAGCUUUUUUAUAUUCUUUUAUGAGGAAUAAUGAUGAAAUCCUCAUGGCCAUGCUGAAAUGGUUCCUAUAUGGCUAUCAGGAGAAGGGUUUUGGCAUUGGCAAAAUAUCAAAAAUUGAAUCUCAAAGGUAUAAAGACGAACUAAAAUUGAGAAAAGUAAAUGCAUCAACAUCAGUGGUAAUUAAUUAAAUUGUAAAUUGAAGGAAAUUAAUUUUGGCAAGUCCUCUCAAUAUCAUCUUUCUCUCAUCAUUGAUAAAUUUUACUAUUUUUCAAAUUGACAUUUGAAUGAAUUAGUCAUUAACAUCAAUCUCUCUCGAACAUAGCUAAAACGUUAUAGAAAAAAUUUGCAAUAAAACAAGUAAUAUUUUCUUUAGCCUGUAAAAGCAAGCAGAGAAGAACUUAUUUUCCACAAAACUAGAACUUAUUUUCCACAAAACUAAAACCUUUGUUCACGCUAUGAACUAGACAAUAGAAACUCAUUGUCAAGCAAAUUUGAGUUAAUUUUUCCAAUUACUUUCAGGGCCAUCCAACAUCAUUAAAUGCAUGACCUAAAUUGCCAGUGAUGUUUUGACCCCAAACCCAAUUUCGGUGCGAAGAGGAGCUAGCUCAUAUUGGGUUUUUACUAAUUGGCUUCCAUUUUACUAUUUUAUUUUUUAAAAUUUUAUGCCAUUUAAUUUCUAAUUACCAACAUGAAUUAAAUUUAUUAUUUUUAAAACAUAAAAUAAUGCAUUGAAUGAAAAUAAAAAAUAACAAAAAUAAUAAAUUGAAUAGGUGAAAAUUUAUUUUAUUUUAAUUUUUAUAAAAUCCAAUAUUUUAUAUAUAUUGUUUUGGAUUUAUUAUUAUUCUUAUUCUUUUAAAAGUUUAUAUUUUAGAAUUAGUUUUUUGUUUUAUUAUUGCCUUUAUUAUGUUUUAUAAGUAUUAUUAAAAUUAAUUACCAUAUUAUUCAAUUUAAAAUUAUUUUUCAUAUAAUUUUUUACAAUUAAAACUAUGUAAUUUAGCACUAUGUUAUUGAUAGACAAAUCUAAACAUUUGGUAUUCAUAGUUUAAGAAUCUAUGUAUACAUAUACUAUAUGUAUUUCAUUUAAUUAACGUGAAUAUGAAGGCAAAGUCAAUGUCAAGAUCCCCCCAAACAAUAAAAUAUUUGGUAUUAUAUAAUCUCGUAGACUUAAAAAUAGUUAUGGACCGGAACUCACAAUAAAAGUUUUUUUUCUUUCCACGGAGAAUAAAAUGUAGCAGAAAGCCACAUGGAAAGUGUAGAAAGAAUUUUUUAUCCCACACUCCAUGAUUUUAUUACUCACACUUUGGAUUAAAGUAUUAAUUACAAAAUAACAAAAUGAAAACCCAAUAGCAGUUGGAGCCGCCAAUUUGUCCGAUUUGAUUAUAUUUAUUACUCUCUCUCUUUUUUUUUUUUUUUAUAAUGUCCUAAAAUUAUAUAUUUUCUUUUUAAACAUCUAAAACAUUUACUUUUUUAUAUUUUAAAAUUAUUGUUAAGAUUUUUUUAUUUUUUAAUAUUAAAAAUUAUGAAACUUUAAUUUUAUAAAAAAAAUUUAAAUUUUAAUAUCAAAUACAUUAAAGUCAAAAAAUUUUUUUAACUCUGUAAAAGUCAAUAAAUAACAAAUAUUUUGAGACAGAGGGAGUAUUAAAAUAUCAAAAUUAUAUUGAAAGCAAAAUAAAUUUUCUUUAAAACAAAAAAUAAAUUUGCAUAUAAAUUUAAAUAAAUAAUAUUUAAAAAAAAUAUAUUUUUUGAGAAAUAGUACAUAACAAUUUUAAGCAAAUUCAAUUUAAAAUACACACUUAAAAUUUUUAUCAUUUCAAAACAUCAACCAAUUUAAAGUUAACAUUAUUAAUUAAGGAUUGAAAUAUUUAAGUUAAUAAAUUAUCAAAGGCAUAUUUAUAUAUAUAUAUAUAUAUCCAUAUAUAUGUCGUUUACUGUAUAUUUGCAGUUUUAAAGUUUAUAGUUUUUAAUAUAGUAUAUGUAAAUAUAGAUAUAGUAAAAUCUUAUAAAGCAAAUAACAUUAACCCAAUGAAAGUACCUAAUAUAUUCAACACUUUCUCUUCCCUUAAAACUUCUUGAAAUGUAUCAAAAAAUGGAAUUAACAAAGUGGUCUUACAUUUUUCUUUUGGUGUUUAUCUAAGCCUAUAACGUUUGACUUACAAAAUCAAAGUAAUUUACUCACAUUUUAAGUAUUACUCCUAACAUUUGGGUGUUUGUCUUUUAUAUUCUUUAAAACGAAAAUAAUUUAAUUAUCCACUGUUGAAUUAUAUAAAAUAUGUCAAUAAAUCUAUUGGUAGAGCAAUGAAAUCUUAAUUUCUAAUUUAAUCAUGGACACCUUCAAAUAAAAAAAAAAGUUUAAACUGAUGAUCCUAAAAAUUGAGUUUUUAGGCAUCAACUAGAAACAUGCCACACAUAAUUAUUUAGAAGCUUUUUAUGAAUAUUAUAAACUUACCAACAUCAAACCAAUUCUAAUUUUAAACCUUAAUGCUAGUUAACUUAUUUAAAAAUAAUUAAUGAAAUAAAAUUAAAAAGAAAUUAGGAAAACUUAAAUUGUUUUCUCACAUUUUCAUCGAAAAAAAUCGAACAUGGUUAGCACCUUAAAACUUAUGUUCAAACAAAUCAUCAAUUUCAUUUUUUAUUUAUUAUUAAAAUAUUAAAAGAUUUUAAUAUUAAUAAUGUAAUAUUUUUAAAUAUAUUUUAAAAUAAAUUAACAAAUAUUAUUUAAUUAAAACAUAAUAAGCAAUCAACCUUGAUAGAAACUUUAAAAAUUUUAUUCAAUAUUCAAUUAAAUAGAGAUUAGUAGAUGAUCUGAUAUAUAGACAAGUCUAAUAACUAGGUAUCAUAGAAUCAUUUACGCUAUUUUAUAAGACAAUGUCUUUACGGUGACAAAUAAUAAAAACAAAUUAUUUCAUUACAAUCAAAUACAUUGCUCAAAAAAAAAAAAAGACCAUUCAUUUACUCCAAUGAUCAAGAUUUGUAGGACAAGAGAAAAGUAAAUGCAUCAGCAUCUAUCAAUUGUAAUUAAAUUGCAAAUUGAAGGAAACUUUGGCAAGCGAAGUCAAGGCCUUCUAUUUCUCUUUCUUUCUCAGUCUCAUUAGUUGUAAAUUCUACUAUAUAUUGACAAUUUUAUAUUUUUAGUGAUAAAAAUGCAUUUUGUUAGAAUAUAUUCUUAGAAAUGACACUUGGAAAAACUAGUCCUUAACAUCACACUUCCCUAUUUUUCUAUAACGUGAGAGAAAAAUUAUACAAUGAGACAAUUAGUAUUUUGUUUAGCGUGUAAAACCAAGCAUAAGACCUUAUUUUCCACAAAACUAAAACUUUCUUCAUGCUACAUACUCAAUGUAGUUGUGUUAUUAGAAAUUUUUAAAAUAUCUGAAUAUCCAAAUUUAAACUAAAUCAAUAAGAAAAAAAUUGAUUCUAAUCCAAUAUUAUAUUUUUGAAUCAAUUUUUUAUUUUUUAAUUUUUAUCUCAUCCUACAAGUUGGCUUCUUUCUGUUCUUUUAUGAGGAAUGAUGAUGAAAUCCUCAUGGCUAUGCUGAAAUGGUUCCUAUAUGGCUAUCAGGAGAAAAGUUUUGGCAUUGGCAAAAUAUCAGGAAUUAAAUCUCAAAGGAAUAAAGACGGAUUACAUUUGAGAAAAGCAAAUGCAUCAACAUCAGUCGUAAUUAAUUAAAUUGUAAAUUGAAGGAAAUUAUCUUUGGCAAGGUCCUGUCAAGAUCGUCUUUCUCUCAUCGUUGAUAAAUUUCACUAUUUUUCGAAUUGACAUUUGAAUGAACUAAUGAUUAACAUCACUCUCUCUCUCGAACAUAGCCGAAACGUUAUAGAAAAAAUUUGCAAUAAAACAAGUAAUAUUUUCUUUAGCGUGCAAAAACAAGCAGAGAAGAACUUAUUUUCCACAAAACUAAAACCAUUGUUCACGCUACAAACUAGAUAAUAGAAACUCAUUGUCAAGCAAAUUUGAGUUAAUUUCACCAAUUACUUUCUAUAAGGGCCACCCAACAUCAUUAAAUGCAUGACUUGAAUUGCAUGUUUUGACCCCAAACCCAAUUUCGGUGCGGAAAGGAGCUAGCUCAUCAUCGAAUUGGGCUUUUACUAAUUGGCUUCCAUUUUACUAUUUUAUUUUUUAAAAUUUUAUGCUAUUUAAUUUCUGAUUACCAACAUGAAUUAAAUUUAUUAUUUUUAAAACAUAAAAUAAUGCAUUGAAUAAAAAUAAAAAAAUAACGAAAAUAAUAAAUUGAAUAGUGAAAAUUUAUUUUAUUUCAAUUUUUUUUAAAUUCAAUAUUUUAUAUUUAUUGUUUUGGAUUUAUUAUUAUUCUUAUUCUUUUAAAAAUUUAUAUUUUAGAAUUAGUAUUUUUUUUAUUGUUGCUGUUAUUAUGUUUUAUAAGUAUUAUUAAAGUUAAUUACCAUAUUAUUCACUUUAAAAUUAUUUUUCAUAAAUAACUUUUUAAAAAAAUGUCCCAUGCAACAUGAGGGCAUCAUUCUAGUGAUAUAUUAAAGUUUAAAUUCUUUUCCUUAAUUAAUAUCUCAAUUAAUUUUUUACAAUUAAAAUUUUAUAAUUUAUCACUAUGUUAUUGAUAGACAAAUCCAAACUUUUGGUAUUCAUAGUUUAAGAAUUUAUAUAUACAUAUAUAUUCCAUUUAAUUAACGGGGAUAUGAAGGUAAUGUCAAUGUCAAUAUUCCCUCAACCAAUGAAAUAUUUGAUGUUAUAUAGUCUCGUAGACUUAAAAUUAGACAUCGACUGGAACUCGCAAUAAAAGUUUCUUCUUUCUAUGAAGAAAUAGAAUGUAGCAAGAAGCUACAUGGAAAGGGUGGAAAGAAUUUUUUAACCUAAACUCCACGAUCUUAUGUAAAGUCACACUUUGAGCUAAAGUAUUAAUUACAAAAUAAAAAAAUGAAAACCCAAGCAGCAGUUGGAGCCCUAGCCAAUUUGUCCGUUUUGAUUAUAUUUAUUACUUCCUUUGUCUAUUGUUUUUUAUUCAUCUUUUCCUUUUUGGAAUGUUCUAAAAUUAUGUUUUAUUUUAUUUUUUGAACAUCUAAAACACUUACUUUUUAUAUUUUAAAAUUAUUUUUUAUUUUUUAUUUUACUUUUUGAUAUUAAACAUCAUGAAACUUUAAUUUUAUAAAAUAAUUUAAAUUUCAAUAUUAAAUACAUUAAAAUCAAAACUUAUUUCUUAAACUCCAUAAAAGUCAAUAGAUAACAAACAUUUUGGGACGAAGGAAGUAUUAAAUAUCAAAUUAUAUUGAAAGCAAAAUAAAUUUUCUUUAAAACAAAAAAUAAAUUUGCACUAAUAUUCAAGUAAAUAAUCUUUAAAAGAAUAUAUAGAUAUUUUUUGAGAAAUUGUAAAUAACAAUUUUAAGCAAAUUCGAUUUAAAAUACAUACUUAAAAUUUUUAUCAUUUCAAAACAUCAACCAAUUUAAGGCUAACAUUAUUAAUUAAGGAAGAAAUAUUUAAGUUAAUGAACUAUCAAAGGCGCGCACACACACACACACACACAUAUAUAUAUCGUUUGCUAUAUAUUGGCACUUUUAAAGUUUAUAAUUUUUAAUAUAGUAUAGAUAAAUAUAGAAUACUAAAAUCUUAUAAAGCAAAUACCAUUAACCCAAUGAAAGUACCUAAUAUAUUCAAGAUUCUCUCUCCCCUUCAAACUUCUAGAAAUGUAUAAAAAAUGGAAUUAACAAAGUGGUCUUACAUUUUUCUUUUGGUGUUUAUGCAAGCCUAUAGCAUUUGACUUACAAAAUCUAAGUAAUUUACUCUCAUUUUAGGUAUUACUCUUAAUAUUUUCUUUCUAAAAUUUAAAUUUGAGACUUUCAAGUUAAAUAUGUUGUGCUUGAGUCAGUAUCUUAUAUAUUAUGAAUAUGAUCAUAUAUAUUGGAUGCAAUGUUGUAAGGUGAAUAGGACAAUACCACCUCAUUAAUGAAUAAAUUUUUAAAAAUAUAUAUUAAUUUUUGUAUAUUUUAUUUUAUGAACUGAUAUUUAUUCAUUAAUAAAUUGACAUCAUCUUAUUCAGUUACAAUAGAAUCUAUAUACUAAUGCAUUAAAUAUAAACCCAAAAUGAAAUUACAUAUAGUAAAAUAAAAGAAUUUGUAUAGUAAAAUAAAAGAAUUUGAUGAAACCAACAAAAACAUAAAAGUAAAAUUGUAAACUUUUAUUAUGGUAGAACUUAUAAUAUCAUUAUUCAUUUCUGAACCAAAUUUUUUAAUACGUUAAAAGCUCGAAUUUAUAAAGAAAUAUGAAAAGAAAAAAAAAACUCUUAGUUGACAAAUCAAAAUAUUUUGUGUUCAUAUCUUAAGAAUCUAAGUAUACAAAUAUAUAUAUAUAUAGAUAUAUAUUCCAACUGAUUAUAGUGGAUAUGAAGGCAAUGUCAAUUUCAAGGUUGACGCCAUUGUCAAUAUUUGAUGUUAUAGUCUUUUAGACUUAAAAAAAAAAAAAAAAAAGAAAAGUAGAUAUAUUGACCGGAACUUGCAAUAAGAUUUUCUUCUUUCCAUGAAGAAAUAGUAUGUACCAGGAAUCUACAUGGAACAUUAAGUGUGGAAAGAAUUUUUUUUCUCUCAUUGAUUUUUCUUUUUAUCAAAUUAACUCAACUUUAACCAUUAAUUUUGAAAAUAUAAUGUAAUAAUAAAUUUUCAAAAAUAUAUAAUUUGAAAACUUUGGAAUUCAAAAUGUCAAGUCUUAGUUUUUAAAAAUAUAUAGCAUUAUAAUCUUUUGAAAAAUAAUAGUUAAAGUUAAGUUCAUUUAAUAAAAAAAGUCACUAAAAACAAAUUAAUUGAAAUGGAUAGAACAUUAAACACCGAAACAAAUUUGACGUUGUACUAUGGAUUAAUAUUUAAUUUUUUCCUUAAAAUUUAAUUCGUUGAAUUUUGUCACAAUACUUUUAAUUUAGGUAAUUUUUUAACAAAAAUGAAGAAAUUGAAAUAAUUCACUAAAUAAUUUAUUUAUGCAAACGACAAAUCUGCUCAAUGCACUGUCAAUUAAUGUUGAUUUUGAAUAUAUCAGUAUGAAAAUGACAAACUUUCAUUAAUUUCAUCCCUUAUAUUCAAAAGUCAUUUUUUAGAGAUGGCUAUUAUUGGGUAACUCCUUGAUUGGCUAUAUAUAUUAAGCUCCAUGCAAGGCUUAUUGUUAUAUAUUUAAUUUUAUCAUUUAUAGUAAUGGAAUAUAAAAUUUUUAAAUAAAAAUUAAAAAAAUCAUAAAUUAAAUUUUAUCUAUUUUUCAUAUAACAAAAUACAAAUAAAUGACUAAAAAAAAUUCAAGCGUAUUAAACUAUAAUAAUUUUCUAAUUAUGUAAAUGGAAAGUAACAAACAACUACAUCGAAAGAUAAAAUUCAAAAAUAAAAUUAUUCAAUUUUUUUGAAAAAAUAAUAGGAUAAGAUAUAUUUAAUUUUUUUAUUUAUAUUUUAGAUUUGAAGGAAAAGAUAUUCGAUUGGGUUAAAUUAAUAUUCAAGUGUUUAUCUUUUAUAUUCUUUAAAACAAAAAUAAUCUAUUUCUAUACUAUUGAAUUACGUAAAAUAUGUCCAUAAAUUUGUUGGCAGAGCAAUGAAAUCUUAAUUUCUAAUUCAAUCAUUGACACUUUCAAAUACACAAAAAAAAAAAAAAAGUUUAAUUAUAUUCAGAUGACACUAAAAAAUGAGAUUCCAGGCAUCAACUAGAACAUGCCACACAUAAUUAUUUAGAAGUAUGACUAUUAUAUACUUACCAACAUCAAAUCAAUUCUCAUUUUAAAUCUUAAUACUAGUUAACUUAUUUUAAAAUAAUUAAUUAAAUAAAAUUUUAAAAAAUUAGGAAAACUUAAAUCGUGUUCUCACAUUUUUAUCUAAAAAAAUUGGAUAUGGCUAGCAUCUUAAAAUUUUAUGUUUGGGCAAAUCGUCAAUGUAAUUUUUUAUUUAUUAUUAAAAUAUUAAAAAGAUUUUAAUAUUAAUAAUUUAAUAUUUUUAAAUAUAUUUUAAAUUAUAUUAACAAAUAUUAUUUAAUUAAAACAUAAUAAGCAAUCAACCUUGAUAGAAACUUUAAAAAUUUUAUUCAAUAUUUGAUUAAGUGGAGACUAACAAAUAGUAUGAUGCAUAGACAAAUCUAAUAACAAGAUAUCAUAGAAUCAUUUAUGCUAUUUUAUUGGACAAUGUCUUUACGGUGGCAAAUAAUAAAAACAAAGUAUUUCAUUGCAAUUGAAUAUAUUGCUCAAAAAAAAAAAAAGACCAUUCAUUUACUCCAAUGAUCAAGAUUUGUAGGACAAGAGAAAAGCAAAUGCAUCAACAUCUAUCAGUUAUAAUUAAUUAAAUUGCAAAUUGAAGGAAACUUUGGCAAGCGAAGUCAAGCUCUUCUAUUUCUCUAUCUUUCUCAAUCUCAUUAGUUGUAAAUUCUACUCUAUAGUGACAAUUUUAUACUUUUAGUGAUAAAAAUGCAUUUUGUUAGAAUAUAUUCUUCAAAAUGACACUUGAAAAAAAUUAGUCAUUAACAUCAUACUCUCCCUUAUUUUUCUAUAACGUGGUGGAAACGUUAUAGAAAAAUUAUGCAAUAAGACAAUUAGUAUUUUGCUUAGCGUGUAAAACCAAACAUAAGACCUUAUUUUCCACAAAACUAAAAUUUUCUUCACGCUAUAUAUUCAAUGUAGUUGUGUUAUUAGAAAUUUUUAAAUAUCCGAAUUUAAACCAAAUCAAAUAAGAAAAAAAUCGAUCCUAAUCAAAUAUUAUAUUUUAAAAUCAAUUUUUUAUUUUUUAAUUUUUAUCCUAUUCUAUAUGUUAGCUUCUUUAUAUUCUUUUAUGAGGAAUAAUGAUGAAAUUCCCAUGGCUAUGCUGAAAUGGUUCCUAUAUGGCUAUCAGGAGAAGAGUUUUGGCAUUGGCAAAAUAUCAAGCAUUGAAUCUCAAAGGUAUAAAGACGGACUACAUUUGAAAAAAGCAAAUGCAUCAACAUAAGUAGUAAUUAAUUAAAUUGUAAAUUGAAGGAAAUUAACUUUGGCAAGUCCUGUCAAGAUUGUCUCUCUCUCAUCGUUGAUAAAUUUCACUAUUUUUCGAAUUGACAUUUGAAUGAAUUAGUCAUUAACAUCACUCUUUCUCUAGAACAUAGCUAAAACGUUAUAGAAAAAAUUUACAAUAAAACAAGUAAUAUUUUCUUUAGCGUGUAAAAGCAAGCAGAGAAGAACUUAUUUUCCGCAAAACUAGAGCUUAUUUUUCACAAAACUAAAACCUUUGUUCACGCUGCAAACUAGACAAUAGAAACUCAUUGUCCAGCAAAUUUGAGUUAAUUUUUUCAAUUACUUUCUAUCAGGGGCACCCAACAUCAUUAAAUGCAUGACCUAAAUUGCCGGUGAUUUUUUGACCCCAAACCCAAUUUGAAUUGUAAUUAAUUAAAUUGUAAUUAAUUAAAUAGUAAAUUGAAGGAAACUUUGGCAAAUGCAUCUCUGUCUUAUUGAUCUCAUCAGUUGUAAAUUUUACUACAUAGUGAUAAUUUUAUAUUUUUAAUAACAAUUUUUACCUUCACUGAAAAUGUAAUUUACUAGAAUAUAUUCUUCGAAAUGACACUUGAAAGAACUAACCAUUAACAUCACACUAUCUUGAACGUGUUCGAAAUGUUAUAAAAAAAUUAUGCAAUGAGACAAUUAGUAUUUUACUUAACGUGUAGAACCAAACAAAAUACCUUAAUUUCCACAAAACCAAAACUUUCUUCACGCUACAAAGUCAAAGUAGAAACUCUCAAACAUCAUUAAGUGCAUGAAUUGAAGUGGCUGUGCUGUUUUGACCCAAACGCGUUUCCAAUGCAAAUAUAAUACUAACAUUGCACUUGACUAAAUUGCAAUUUAAAGGAAAUUAAUAUUGGCAAAUCCCGUCAAAGUUGUCUUUUUCUCGUCUUGAUAAAUUUCAUUAUUCUUCGAAUUAAUAUUUGAAUGAAUUGGUCAUUAAUAUCACACUCUUCCAAACGUAGCCAAAACGUUAUAAACAAAGUCUACAACAAAAAAAGAAAUAGUUUCCUUAGCGUGUAAAACAAAGCAGAAGAACUUAUUUUCCACAAAAUUAAAAACUUUGUUGACUCUACAAACUAGAAAGUAGAAACUCAUUGUCAAGCAAAUUGGAGUUAAUUUCACCAAUUACUUUCUAUUUGGACCACCCAACAUCAUUAAAUGCAUGACCUGAAUUGCCAACGACGUUUUUGACCCCAAACACAAUUUCGUUUUGACCCCAAAUGCGGUUAUUACUUGUGUUUGAAUUGGAUUUUUCAUGUAUAAAAAGCUAGAUGCAAGAAUGCAUUUGAGAAAUAUGAAGAUUUUGAACAACUUUGGAAAAAAUAAAUGGAAUUGUAGACACCCAAUCAGGUCCGGGCCCGAAUCAAUUGGGCCUGACCCGGAUCAAUUGGGCCUGACCCAGAUCAUUUGGGCCUGGCCCAAAUGGGCAAGGCCCAAUUGAAUUUUUACCCCGUAUUUUUUAUUUUUAUUUAUUUAUAUUUUUUUUUCUCUUGUGUAUUUUAUUAUUUAUUAUUAUGUAUUAAUAUAUGUAUAUAUAUAUAUAUAUAUUCUUUUUUUUUUUUUCAUUAGAAUAGAUUUAUAUGUAUAUAGUUAUAUAUUUAUUAUAUUAUUAUUCUUAUCUUUUUUUUUUAAAUUAUCUGUUCUGAUUUUUUCUGAUUUUCAGAUAUUAUUUGAAAAUUUUUUUUUUUUUUAUCUUUUGAUUUAUCUUUCCAAUUAUCUAGAUUUUUUUUUUUUAAUUUUUAUUUUGGAGGGCUAGGAUUCAAAGUUGAAGACUCCCACUCUGGAGGGGAAUUCAAUCAGAAGAGUCCAAUUGGAUUCAAAGACUGAAUUCCCGUCCAAAGAGGAAUUGGGAUUGAUCAGAAACUCCUGAUCAAUCCCUAUAAAAGGGACCCCCUGGAACAAUCAAGAACACACAGAAAACAGUAAGCUAGAGCUACUGAUUUGAGAAGCAAAGGCGUAGGGAAGAGUAUAGAAGGCUAGGAAAAGGUUUAGGAGAGUUCCAAAAAUUAUCAGAAAUUUUUUGGGGAUUUUUUUCGAAAUUUUUUUCUGGGAAUUUCUGGAAAAUUCCAGUUUCCGGUUGAAUUUUCCGGCCAACCUUGAAGUUUCCGGCGAAAAUUCCGGCCAACAUUGAAGUUUCCGGCGACCUGCCCAGUUUCCGGCGAAGAAUCCCAGAAACCGGCGAGUUUCCGGCCAACUUCCGGCGAAAAACCCAGAUUCCGGCGAAAAUUUCCAGAAUCCGGUGAAUCUUCAACCGGAGUUCUUCGGUUUUUUAGAGAGAAGGGAGAGAAAAGGGAAGGAAGAGAGAGAGGGGAGAGGAGCGUUCUGCCGAAAAACAAAGGGGAUUGCCUUUUAUACCCUCCCAAAACGACGUCGUUUUGGCUUUAAGUUAAUCAGAGGAUCCGCGCGUUUUGCCGAAAACCCGACCCGACCCGGGCGUCGACCCGCUUUUCUGACCCGCGCGUGCCAACCCCUCCGAGCCGAGCCGAGCCGAGCCGUUCUUCCCGAGCCGCUUCUCCGAGCCGUUUUCUCUUCCUUGAGCCGAGCCGAGCCGAGCCGCAACCCGAGCCGCUCCAGGUUUUUUUUUUUUUUUUUUUUUUUUUUUUGAAUUUUUUCUUUAUUUGACUUUGAUUUUGAUCUUGAUUUUUUUUUUCUUUUUUCUUUAAUUAAUCCGACGACGGAGCCUCUACAAGUGAAACAGUAGUUUUUCUUGCAUACUCCUGAGGUGAGGGAAUUUUUUCAAUUUUCUGCUAAAAGUAUUAGAGUCAAUUGAGAAUAAUUUUCGAUAAUUAAUUAAUUGGUUGAUCUUGAUUUUUCUUUAAAUAAUCCGACGAUGGAGCCUCUGCAAGUGAAACAGUAGUUUUUCUUGCAUACUCCUGAGGUGAGGGAAUUUUCUCAAUUUUCUGCUAAAAGUAUUAGAGUCAAUUGAGAAUAAUUUUCAACAAUUAACUACUUGGUAAAAUUUUAAGGCUUUUGGAUAACACAAAUUCAAGCUGGUACCAUCUUUUGAUGGGCGUUGUGAGGGUGCUAUAACCUUCCUCACACGUAACCGAACUCCCGAACCCUGUUCUGGUUAGCAGACCUGAACCUAUUCUUUAAGGGACCCUCAAGCUUAGGUGUUCCCUGAAAGGACAGAUUCCUUAGGUGGCCAAUCGCACCUAGAUAAAAAAGAUUGGUGGCGACUCCCUAAAGUCAAUGUCUAGCGAUAGAUCCCCGGAUCUAGACGUUAUGACAGGAAUGAAUCCUUUUUUAUCAGAUUAUUUAAUUAUAGUAUGAAAAAGUUAGUUGGUUGCCAAUAAAUUUAAGAUCCAAGGGCACUAUACAAUUGGCCAAUUCAAUGUCUUUAUAUGUUGUGCCUUUCAAAUUAAACAUAGUAAUAAUUUGUUAAUAAGGAAAAUAAUUAUUGAAUAUAAACAUCCUAAUCAUGCUGUUUGCAAGGGACAAGUAACUAUAGAGAUUUAUAUAUAUAAAUUACAAUUAUGUGUUAUUAAUGUGUUAUGAAGAGAAUUUAUACAUUAUAUUAACGCUUCAAUUGGUUUCCAUUUUACUAUUUUAUCUUUUAAAAUUUUACGCUUGUUAAUUUCUAACUACCAACAUGAAUUAAAUUUAUUAUCUUUAAAAAAUAAAAUAAUGUAGCAUGAGGUUUUACCCAAUAAAAGUUUCCUUUUUCCAUGAAGAAAUAGGAUGCAGCAGAAACCCACAUAGAUAAUGGUGAAAAGAGUUUUUAACCCAAAGUUCACUAUUUCAUGCACAAAUCACACUUUUGGCUAAUUACAAAAUGACAAAAUGAAAACCCAAGCAUUAGCGAGAGCUCAAGCAAUUUUGUCCGUUUUUAUUAAAUUUAUUAUCAAAAUUAUAUUGAAUCCCAAAUAAAUUUUCUUUAAAACAAUAAUUAAAAUAUUUUGUAUUCAUAUUUUAAGAAUCUAAGUAUACAAAUAUAUAUUCCAAUUAAAUAAAGUGGAUACGAAGUCAAUGUCAAUUUCAAGGUUGACGCCAUUGUCAAUAUUUAAUGUUAUAGUCUUUUAGACUUAAAAAAAAUUGAAAAAGUGGACAUAUUGACCGGAACUUACAAUAAGAUUUUCUUCUUUCCACGAAGAAAUAGUAUGUACCGGGAAGCUACAUGGAACAUUAAGUGUGGAAAUAAUUUUUUCUUUCAUUGAUUUUUCUUUUUAUCAAAUUAACUCAACUUUAACCAUUAAUUUUGAAACUAUAAUGUAAUAAUAAAUUUUCAAAAAUAUAUAAUUUGAAAACUUUGGAAUUCAAAAUUUCAAGUCUUAGUUUUGAAUAAAAAAACGAUAUUGAAAUAUUUAACGAAAUAUUCUAUCAGCAUGAAAAUAAUCUAUUUAUAUACUGUUGAAUUAUAUAAAAUAUGUCAAUAAAUCUAUUGGUAGAGCAAUGAAAUCUUAAUUUCUAAUUUAAUCAUGGACACCUUCAAAUAAAAAAAAAUGUAAAUUAUAUUAGGAUGAUCCUAAAAAUUAAGUUUUUAGGCAUCAACUAGAAACAUGCCACACAUAAUUAUAUAGAAGCUUUUGAUGAAUAUUGUACACUCACCAACAUCAAACCAAUUCUCAUUUUAAAUCUUAAUACAAGUUAACUUAUUUAAAAAAAUUAAUGAAAUAAAAUUAAAAAGAAAUUAGGAAAACUUAAAUCGUUUUCACAUUUUCAUCUAAAAAAAUCGAACAUGGUUAGCAUCUUAAAGUCUUAUGUCCAAACAAAUCAUCAAUUUCAUUUUUUAUUUAUUAUUAAAUUAUUAAAAGAUUUUAAUAUUAAUAAUUUAAUAUUUUAAAUAUAUUUUAAAUUAAAUUAACAAAUAUUAUUUAAUUAAAACAUAAUAAGCUAUCAACCUUGAUAGAAACUUUAAAAAUUUUAUUCUAUAUUCGAUUAAGUGGAGACUAACGGACAGUCAGAUGAAUAGACAAGUCCAAUAACAAGGUAUCAUAGAAUCAUCUAUGGUAUUUUAUAUAGACAAUGUCCAAUUUACAGUGGCAAAUAAUAAAAACAAAUUAUUUCAUUGCAAUAGAAUAUAUUGCUUAAAAAAAAAAAAACAAGACCAUUCAUUUACUCCAAUGAUCAAGAUUUGUCAGACAAGAGAAAAGCAAAUGUACUAGCGUCUAUCAGUUGUAAUUAAUUAAAUUGCAAAUUGAAGGAAACUUUGUCAAGUGAAGUCGAGGUCUUCUAUUUCUCUAUCUUUCUCAAUCUCAUUAGUUGUAAAUUCUACUAUAUAGUGACAAUUUUAUAUUUUUAGUGAUAAAAAUGGAUUUUGUUAGAAUAUAUUUUUUGAAAUGACACUUACAAAAACUAGUCAUUAAUGUCACACUCCCUUAUUUUUCUAUAACGAAUUGGAAACGUUAUAGAAAAAUUAUGCAAUGAGACAAUUAGUAUUUUGCUUAGCGUUUAAAACCAAGCAUAAGACCUUAUUUUCCACAAAACUAAAACUUUCUUCACGCUACAUACUAAAUGUAGUUGUGUUAUUACAAAUUUUUAAAUAUUUGAAUAACCAAAUUUAAACCAAAUCAAAUAAGAAACAAAUCAAUCCUAAUCAAAUAUUUAUUUUUGAAUUGAUUUUUUAUUUUUUAAUUUUUAUCUCAUCCUACAGAUUAGCUUCUUUAUAUUCCUUUAUGAGGAAUGAUAAUGAAAUCUUCAUGGCAAUGAUGAUGAAAUCUUCAUGGCAAUGCUGAAAUGGUUCCUAUAUGGCUAUCAGGAGAAGAGUUUUGGCAUUGGCAAAAUAUCAAGAAUUGAAUAUCAAAGGUAUAAAGACGGACUACAUUUGAAAAAAACAAAUGCAUCAACAUCAGUAGUAAUUAAUUAAAUUGUAAAUUGAAGGAAAUUAACUUUGGUAAGUCUUGUCAAGAUCGUCUUUCUCUCAUCGAUGAUAAAUUUUCACUAUUUUUCAAAUUGAGAUUUGAAUAAAUUAGUCAUUAACAUCACUCUCUCUCGAUCGUAGCCGAAACGUUAUAGAAAAAUUUGCAAUAAAACAAGUAAUAUUUUUUUAGCGUGUAAUGCAAGCAGAGAAGAACUUAUUUUCCACAAAACCAGAACUUAUUUUCCACAAAACUAAAACCUUUGUUCAUGCUACAAACUAGAAAAUAGAAACUUAUUGUCAAGCAAAUUUGAGUUAAUUUUUCCAAUUACUUUCUAUCAGGGCCACACAACAUCAUUAAAUGCAUGACCUGAAUUGCCAGUGACGUUUUGACCCCAAACCCAAUUUCAGUGCGAAAAGGAGGUAGCUCAUCAACCGAACUCGGUUUUUACUAAUUGGCUUCCAUUUUACGAUUUUAUUUUUUAAAAUUUUAUGCCAUUUAAUUUCUAAUUACCAACAUGUAUUAAUUUAUUAUUUUAAAAAAUAAAAUAAUGCAUAGAAUAAAAAUAAAAAAUAAAAAAAUAAUAAAUUGAAUAAGUGAAAAUUUAUUUUAUUUUAAAUUUUUUAAAAUUCAAUCUUUUAUAUUUAUUGUUUUGGAUUUAUUAUUAUUCUUAUUCUUUUAAAAGUUUAUAUUUUAGAAUUAGUAUUUUGUUUUUAUUAUUGCCUUUAUUAUGUUUUAUAAGUAUUAUUAAAAUUAAUUACCAUAUUAUUCAAUUUAAAAUUAUUUUUCAUAGAUAACUUUUUAAAAAAAUGUACCAUGCAACAUAAGGGCAUCAUUCUAGUGAUAUACUAAAGUAUAAAUUUUUGUCCUUAAUUAAUAGCUCAUAUAAUUUUUUAGAAUUAAAAUUAUGUAGUUUAGCACUAUGUUAUUGAUAGACAAAUCUAAACAUUUGGUAUUCAUAGUUUAAGAAUCUAUGUAUACAUAUAUAUAUAUAUAUAUAUAUAUAUAUAUAUGAAUUUCAUUUAAUUAACGUGAAUAUGAAGGCAAUGUCAAUAUCAAGAUCCCCUCAAACAAUGAAACAAUGAUGAAAUAUUGACCGGAACUCACAAUAAAAGUUUUUUUUCUUUCCACGGGGAAUAAAAUGUAGCAGGAAGCCACAUGGAAAGUGUGGAAAGAAUUUUUUAACCCACACUCCACGAUUUUAUGACUCAUACUUUGGACUAAAGUAUUAAUUACAAAAUGACAAAAUGAAAACCCAAGUAGCAGUUGGAGCCGCCAAUUUGUCCGUUUUGAUUAUAUUUAUUAUUCACCCUGUCUCAUUUUUUUAUUUUUUAUUUUUUUAGAAUGCCCUAAAUUUAUAUCUUUUCUUUUUUACCAUCUAAAACAGUUACUUUUUAUAUUUUAAAAUUAUUUUUAUGAUUGUUUUAUUUUUUAAUAUUCAAAAUCAUGAAACUUUAAUUUUAUAAAAAGAAUUUAAAUUUUAAUAUUAAAUACAUUAAAGUCAACUUUUUUCUUAAAUUCCAUAAAAGUCAAUAAAUGACAAAUAUUUUGGAAUGGAAGGAGUAUUAAAAUAUCAAAAUUAUAUUGAAAGCAAAAUAGAUUUUCUUUAAAAACAAAAAAUAAAUUUGCAUUUAAAUUCAAAUAAAUAAUUUUUAAAAAUAUAUAUUUUUUGAGAAAUAUUACAUAACAAUUUUAAGCAAAUUCAAUUUAAAAUACACAGUUAAAAUUUUUAUCAUUUCAAAACAUCGACCAAUUUAAAGUUAACAUUAUUGAUUAAGGAUGAAAUAUUUAAGUUAAUAAAUUAUCAAAGGCAUAUACAUUUAUAUAUUUAUAUAAAUAAAUAUAAAUAAAGUAUAAUUUUUUUUCCUUAAUUAAUAGCUCAUAUAAUUUUUACAAUUAAAAUUAUGUAAUUUAGCACUAUGUUAUUAAUAGACAAAUCUAAACAUUAGGUAUUCAUUGUUUAAGAAAAUAUGCAGACACACAUAUCCCAUUUAAUUAACGUGAAUAUGAAGGCAAUGUCAAUAUCAAGAUCCUUUCAAAUAAUGAAAUAUUUGAUGUUAUAUAGUCUAAUAGACUUAAAAGUGGAAAUUUUCUGGAACUUACAAAUAAAAGUGGUGGACCCAUAUAUAAUUUUUUAAUGUAAUUAAAUAAUUAUAAUAUUGUAACAAAAAAUUUAUAGGUGAAAUGUUCCCAAACUGAUUUACUUAUUUCAAUUAAAUUUGUUAUUAAAAUGUUAAAAAUAUUUUAUAUUAAUAUUAUAAAAUUAAAUUUUAAUUAAAAUAUAUUAUUUAUUAAUAUAAUAAAAUUCUCAAGUUGAACGCAUGCCCAAAAAAUCAUAUUUAGGACUGGAUCCAAGUUUUUUGAUCAAAUAGCCUAAAAAGUAGUUGGGUUUAGCAAGUACUCUAGCUAUUUAGCAAGUACUCUAGCUAUAACAACUAAGAGAACGAUUGUGAAAUGAAGAUUUUUUUUAUCAAGAUUGAUCAUUAGUUAAAAAAAAUAAUGAUCAAAACAAUUAAAUAAUAAAAAAAAUAAUGAUCAAAACAAUUAUUGAGACAAAACAUCAUUUAUAUAUAGCACCACCGAUGACCGAAGACAAAGAAAGAGACUAACACUCUUUUUGGUAAGAAGGAAAAGACGAGGGAAAAAAGUUCUAAUUUUUUUUUUACUUUCCCUCUUCUUUCUUUCUUACAACAGAGGAUCGAGGACCACCUUGAUUUUCUAUAUAUAUUAAGCUUGAUGCAAGGCUUAUCGUUAUAUAUUUACAAGUAGCAAUUGAGAGAGAAUUGAAAAUAUAGAGAUCAUAUAUAAAGAAAAAGAGAUGAUGGAACCCAAAUGGUUGUGGUUGAGUGUGUUGUUGCUGUUGUUAGAAGGAUGCAGAUGGUAUGGUACUGAUGCGUGUUGGGAGGAUGAGAGGAUUGCUCUCUUGCAACUCAAACCUUUCUUCAAUCCUUACAACGAUCUGAACAGCUGGGUUGAUGAGAUCAAGGGUUCAGAUUGCUGUCAAUGGGAUGGGGUCGAGUGCAACACCUCUUCCUCCUCUUCCAAGCGAGUCAUAGGACUCUCUCUUGAUUAUACAAGACUGUCCAACAACGAAAGAUGGUAUCUUAAUGCCUCUUUGUUUCUUCCUUUCAAGGAACUGAAGCAUCUUUAUUUGAGAGGGAAUAACAUCGCUGGUUUUGUUGAAAGUGAAGGUCCCUUUUGCCUUUUCAUCUUUAAUUAUUUCAUUGUUAAUUUGCAAUUUGAAAAUUCAUUCAUAACUUAUUCAUUUUUACAAUUUCAUAUUUAAUUCUAUUUUUGCUUUAUUGAUGAAAAGCCACUAAGUCCUUACUAUAUAUUUAAAAGAACUCUCUUGCAGGUUUUGCAAAGCUAAAUUUGGAGAUCCUUGACUUAAGUUUCAAUUACCUCAAUGAUACAAUUUUAUUAUCUUUGAGUCAACUUUCAUCUCUCAAGGAUUUAUAUCUAGCAGGAAACUUGUUCACAGGAUCAACUCAUGCAAACGGUAAAGUUAAAAUUAAUCUAAUAAUGAUUAUGAAUGAUAUACAGUAACUAAAAUAUUAACUUGUGUUUAUUACAGGUUUCCAAUGGCUCUCAAGACUUGGUAAUUUGGAAACUCUUGAUUUAAGGGACAAUUCCUUGAAAAAUAACAUAUUGUUUCAUAUGAAUGGUCUUUCAUCUUUAAAGACUUUAAGAUUAAGUGACAAUUACUUGGAAGGAACGGUUCAUAUUCACGGUAAACUCACUUUACCUCUAAUUGAUAUUAAAGUCAAUUGUUGUUUCAAGGAAAGCUCUUGCAUAUUAUUUGAUUUUAUAUAUAAUAUAAUUAAUUACUUGUUGAGGUUGAAUAGAAUUGAAUAAUUUGACAAACUUGAAGAACUUGGAUUUAAGCUACAAUAGAAUUGAAAGCUUCCAACCAUCAAAGCAAGGUAUAAAUAUAUAUUUCAAUUCACUGAACUAAAAUCUUAAUUAUGUGAUCAGCAUAUAAAAUUUUUUAUUGACUAUAGUAUAUAAUAGAAUUAUAUAUUCUUGUAUAGGAAACGAGACACAACUGAGGUUGACCAAUUUGGAGGUACUUAAUUUGAGCGGUAAUCUCUUCAGGAACAACAUAUUUUCCUUCCUUCGGGGGCUUUCAACUCUAAAGUCCUUGCAUAUGAGGGAGAACCAAUUGCAAGGCUCAAUAGAUGUUAAAGGUAAAGCUUUUACAACCUUUUUUUUUAAAUUCCUUUUAGAAGCCUUAAACUCAUAAAAGAAAGUGUUUUGCUAAGUCAAAGGUAUUUAUUAAUUAAUCAAAAGGGCACAAAGCCAGCAUAAAGUUAAUGCAGCAAAGCAAAUAGAUUCUAUGCAUUCAAACCAGACAGACAAAACACCACCCAAAGUAUAUAACUGAAGACAAAACACUUAAAAGUUACACAACCUUACCCAUAAGCCAAUUACCUCCCGACCAAAGCGAGCUAUGUGUGUUUUCAAUUUCGUGUAUUGUCGGCAUAGAAUCAGUCUCCACUAUCACAUGCUCUGUACCCUGUUCAAAAGCUAGUUGCAGUCCCCAAAGGAUCGCUUUUGCCUCUGUAUGAAAGGAACUUUCAGUCCAGUCUACCCAAGUCACUGCUGAAAAAACCACGUUACUCUUUGAAUCUCUAAGAACAGCACCUAGCCCAGCUUCCUGUUCUCUGAACCUAUACACUGCAUCCACAAUGAGCUUUAACAUAUCCAGUACAGGAGGUUGCCAACUCUAUCCUUGUGGCUUCCUCGAGAUCAUAGUUGGUUGGGCAACCAGUUCUAGCCUUUCCCUCACAAGGGCUGUCUUUACCAAUGAUUUCCGCAUAGCACAUGUUACUCGAUGGAGGCUUUUAAUUACAAUCAUCGUAUUGUAAUUCUUAUUGUGUUAAUUAUAAUAUCAUAAUUCUUAAUAUUAUCAUGUUUGCUUAUAUAAUUACAUUAAUUAAGUUAACAAAUAUUAUAUUAUUUUCAAAAUGUGAAAUGAAACCCAGUUAAGAUGCUAAUUGUACCUUUUGUCUCUUGGAUAGUUGCACUUGCUAAUAUGACAACUUUUGGUUGCAAAAAAACAUUUCUUGUUCAUAAUAUCCGGUAGGAAAAAAGCCAUUAGCUUAAGAAUCAAGCUACACCUAUUGGGCAAAAAAAAAAAAAAAUCAAGCUACACCUAGUUAUGAAGGAGGAUGUCACUUAUUAAACAGUCAGUCAUUUCGAUUUUUGAUUGGGAUAAGAAAUUCGAAUCCAACUCUAUGUAAGAUAAAGACAACCAAACCAAGUAUUUAUUAUUGAAGUGAGAAAACCGAUACAUGACUGAAUUAGAAACAGUUGAGAAACCAUUUUGUAGUUUUUUUCUUUUUAAUUUUUGUUUCCUGAAGUUUCCUGAGUAUUUGUGUUAAUGGAUCAAGUCAAGCAAAUGGUAGAAUUAAAAUUAACCCAAUAGUGAUUAUGAAUGAUAUAUAGUAAUUAAAAUAUUAAUCUUUUUCAUUACAGGCUUCCAAUGGCUUUCAAGACUCAAUAAUUUGGAAACUCUUGAUUUAGGAUACAACUCUUUGAAAAAUAACAUAUUGUUUUAUAUCAAUGGUCUUUUAUCUUUAAAGACUUUAAGUUUGAUGAGAAAUCACUUGGAAGGAACUAUUCACAUUCACGAUAAACUUGGUUUACCCUUUUUUUACGUUUAAAUCAAUUGUUGUUUCAGGAAAAGGUAUUGCAUAUCAUUUGCUUUUAUACGUAUUAUUAAUUACUCAUUGGCAUUGAGUAGGAUUGAAUAAUCUGACAAAUUUGAAGAACUUGGAUUUAAGCGACAAUAAAAUUGAAAGCUUCCGACCAUCAAAGCAAGGUAUAAAUAUAUAUUUUAAUUUACUUAACUAAAUUCUUAAUUAUGUGAUUAACAUGUAAAAUUUCUCAUUGAUAAUAGCAAACAAUAGAAUUUUAUAUUUUUGCAUAGGAAACGAGACACAACUGAGGCUGACCAAUUUGGCGGAGCUUGAUUUGAGGGGUAAUCUUUUCAAGAACAACACAUUUUUCUUCCCUCGGGAGUUUUCAAGUCUAAAGUCCUUAGAUAUGGGGGAGAACCAAUUGCAUGGCUCAAUAGAUAUUAAAGGUAAAGCUAUUGCAGCUUUUUUUUUCUUCAAUUCUUUUUAGAACCUUUAAACUCAUCAAAUGAGUACAAUCUCAUAUCACAUUUGAGGAUUUUUCUUCUUCACUUAAAGCUUUAGAUUUAUUUUGCUGUUUAUUUCUUUAUAAAGUCAAUAAAAAUAUUCAAUAAAAGAUUAUUUGAAUAACCAAGCUAACAUAAUCAUUAUUUGAAUUGAACUUGGACAUAGAAUUGAAUAACUUGAUGAAUUUGAAGAAGUUGUAUUUAUACUCCAACAAAAUCGAAAGCCUUCAAUCCUUACAAGGUAUGCAUUUAUAUUUGAUUAAUUAGUUAAGUUGUUAUAUUUAAUUAAAUAUUGUGUAAAUCUUGUUUUAGUGAUGAAAUUAUGUAAACCUUAUGUAGAUAGUGGGAGACGGCUGAACUUGACCCAUUUAGAAGAAUUUGAGUUGAGAAAUAAUCUCAUUAAUGACAGCAUAUUUGCAUCACUUAGCGGGCUUUCAAAUUUGAAGUCUUUGGAUGUAAGCUACAAUCGGUUAAAUGGAUCAAUAGAUAUGAGAGGUAAAUUUCUUUUUUUUUUUGCAAAAAUUUUGAAUUUGUUAAGAAGAUCUUAAUUCAUGUUUCAAGAUGACAUAACAAAUAAGUUCAUCUAUUUCUUUUCUUUAAUGAUAAAAUUAUGUAAAUUAUUUAUAGAUAUAGGGAGAUAGUUAAAAUUGACCAAUUUCUAAAAGCUUGAUUUAAGUCAUAAUCUAAUUAAUUAUUACUUUUCAACCAAAAUUUCAACUCUAUUAUAAAUACUCUAAAAAAAAUACAUUUCAUAUAUUUAGAUGAUUUAAUGAAGUUUAUUCAUUACUUUUUUUCUAGGCUUAGGUGCUUUUACCAACUUAGAGGAACUGGAUAUGAGUUAUAAUGAUUUGAAUGAAUUUGUGAGCUGUAAAGGUAUGGAUUUAAAUAAAUUUUCUAUUUUUAUUUAUGAGGUUUAUAAUGAUGUAGAUGUUUUAAUGACCAAAAAAUUCAGCAUAUUAAAAUUUAAUGCUCAAAUUUUUAAAGGAAGAAAUUAAUUAUUUAUUAUAUGCUUUUUAUUACAAUGCUACAAUUCUCUAACUAUAAUAAAGAAGUAUGUAAGAAUCGAUUAUUUAUAAAUGUGACCUCCAUAUAAAAUUUUGUUAGACCUCACGUAAUUUUGAAUUGUGGCUAUUUAAUUGUAUUAUAAUGGUUGUAGGUGAAAUGCUCUCAUUAAAAUUAAUGUCCGAUUUUUUAAAGGAAGAAAUUCAUUCUAAUUUGAUUACUAAUUAGAAAAUGAUAUAUAUUUGCAUUAGAUAAUUGCUUUCUUUAAGAAGUGUUGCAACGACAUAUCAAAUAUUUCCCUUUUUGUUUGUAUUACCUUGUUGUGUCUUAGAGUUGGACUUGUUUGCCUUUUGUCAUUCUAUUUUAGAUUACUACGUAUUCUUAUUAUCGUUUAAAAAAUUUUGCCUUUUCAUGUUACCGUUUUGUUUGAUUUUCAUCUUUUUGAUUGUUUCGUAUAUUAAAAUUUAUAUUAAAAAUAUUUAACGAUUCAAUAUUCUUCUCUAUUAAAAAUUCAUUUUGCAUUAAUCUUAAAUAUAUAAUCUUAUCUACAAAAAUGAAAAUUUUCACUCAUUUAUUUUUUUCAUUUACAGAGUACAAGAGUUUGAAAAAGUUAAAAGUUCUUUGUCUAAAUAGGGUUUUUACCAAUGGAAGCAUUCCAUUACUACUAAAAUUAGUAGAGGCAUUCCCAUCGGUUAAGACCUUCUAUCUACUAAUGAAUUACUUAAACAAGACUAUGACUACUCAAGAUCAAGGUAAGUCAUUAAUUUAUUCCAAAAGGAUUAAAAAUUAGUAGAUGUUUGUUGAUUAACAUCUAAUAAUGCCUCCUAUGCUAUGAUUACUCAGAAUUGCAUGUGUGGAGCAAUGUGGAGGAAAUAUUUCUAGACGGUUCUUAUCUCAACAACAACAUUUUGCAAAGCAUUGGAGUAUUCACUUCUCUUAAAACUUUGUCUUUAUCUAGCUGUGGACUUACGGGUUCUUUACCUAAUCAAGGUAAAUUAAAGACUCCAUAAUUUCUCCAAUAUAACUUACGGAAUACAUCUCUUUCUAAUAAUCCUUUAUUCUAUUUCUUUUAUCUAAUAUCUCCUAUAUAAUUUGACAUGGAAAUUAAAAUUUAAUUAGAAUUUCUUCCAUGAAUUUAUAAAAUUUUCAGGUUGGUGUGAUUUAAAGAACCUUGAAAAGUUGGACAUCAAAGGGAAUGCAUUUGAGGGGAUACUUCCUUAUUGUUUGGGUAACUUGACAUCUCUUCUUAAGUUAGAUAUCUCCUACAAUCAAUUUACUGGAAAUUUGACUCCUUUAGCAAAUCUUUCAUCACUUAGAUCUGUCACCCUUUCAAAAAAUCGUUGUCAAAUUUCAAUGCCAUUCCUAUCACUUGCAAACCUUCCAAAUCUCAAGUUUCUCUUGGCUGAUGAAAACAAUAUAGUAAUGGAACCUAAUUCCUUUCAUACUUCAAUUCCAAAGUUUCAACUAAAUGUUUUCAGCUUGUCAAAGUGUACAACAGAUAAAGGACUUAGCCUACAACCUCCUAAGUUCCUUUAUUACCAAUAUGACUUGAGAUAUGUUGAUCUUUCCUAUAACUAUUUCAGUGAAACAGUCCCGUUAUGGUUGUUAGAAAAUAACACAAAAUUAGAACAUCUCUUCUUGUUGGGCAAUUCUUUCACCGGUCCUCUCUUGUUACCACAACUUCCUAAUCCUAAUGUGUCUGUAAUUGACAUAUCUAAUAACAAAUUACAAGGCCAAAUUCCGACAAAUAUAUGUUCAACUUUUCCAAAUUUGGAAUGGUUAUUCUUAUCUAAGAAUGCCUUUGAAGGUAAUAUCCCUCCUUGUUUAAGUGGCAUGGACACUUUAUCAUUUUUAGACCUAUCGGACAAUCAUUUGUCUGGAAGAUUACCAGAAGAGUUGAUCAUGGGAAGUUCAUUAGAUAUUCUUAGGCUAUCAAAUAACAACCUAAGUGGAAAGAUUGUUCCUAUGAUGUUCAACACAACAAGUUGUCAAAUUUGUAUUUGGAUGGCAAUAAUUUUGCCGGAGAGAUUCCUGAUAUUGAUGUCUCUGCUACUGAUUUGUCAUAUUCAUCACUAGAGGAUAUUGAUCUCAGUAAUAACAGUUUUAAUGGAAAGCUCCCAAGAUGGAUAGGGAAUGUAUCGCAUUUGAAGAGAUUGGCUUUGUCCAACAAUCAUUUCGAAGGUUCUAUUCCAAUGGAAUUGUGCAACUUGUAUGAGCUUGAAUUUUUGGAGCUUUCUGAAAACAAUUUAUCUGGCUCUAUUCCUUCUUGUUUCAAUCCACCAUAUUUGAGACAUGUCCACCUGAAGAGAAACAGACUAAGUGGUCCAUUGACACUUGUUUUUGAUAGCUCUACAUUAGUGACAUUAGAUCUUAGAGGGAAUAAUUUGACCGGUAAUAUUCCAAAAAGGAUUGGCACAUUUUCUACUUUAAGCGUCCUUCUUUUGAAAGAUAAUCAUUUAAACGGUGAAAUUCCAGUUCAAUUAUGCAAGUUGUAUUCAUUGAGCAUCAUAGAUCUUUCUGGAAAUAUGUUUUCUGGUCUUAUACCUUCUUGUUUGGGCAAUUUAACUCUGGCAAUGAAAGAGGAGAAGUCUGUCGUAGAUGAUUAUUUGUAUAUAUCAAAUCAAAUACAGGAUCCACUAGUACCAAUAGACAUUUGGUUUGAUUUAUCAUAUAUUCUUCCUCGUAGCUACAUGGAAGAAUGGAUAGAGUUUACAACAAAGAGUGUGUCCUACUCAUACGGUGGUGACAUUCUUAAGUACAUGUCUGGAAUUGAUUUAUCUUGUAACAGGUUAACUGGGCAAAUCCCAGUGGAACUGGGAAACCUGAGUGAAAUCCGUUCGUUAAACUUAUCACACAAUAACUUAGUAGGAGUUAUACCUUCAUCAUUUUCACAAUUUAAGCAAAUUGAGAGUUUGGACCUUUCUUACAACAACUUGAGUGGGAGAAUCCCUAUACAGUUGGUUGAGUUGAACUUUCUAGAGGUUUUCAGUGUGGCACACAACAACUUGUCAGGUAGUACUCCAGAACCAAAAGCUCAGUUUGGGACCUUUGAUGAAAGCAGUUACGAGGGAAACCCUCUUCUUUGUGGGCCUCCACUGCAAAAUAACUGCUCUAAAACUGACUCACCAACAACAGUACCAACUACAGCAGAUGAUGAAGGAGAAGGUAGUUUCAUGGACACAUAUGUUUUUUGUGUGAGCUUUCUGGUUUCAUAUGUAAUUGUUUUAUUGGUAAUUUUUGUUGUUCUAUACAUAAAUCCAUAUUGGCGACAAGCAUGGUUUUCUUUCAUUGAGAGUUGCAUCACAACUUGUCGCUACUCAGUUGCAGGCAAUUUUCUUGAGUUAUACAUCUUCAAAAGAUGUGUUUAGGUGUCAUAGGAGCUCUUAUGAUUUGCCUUUAGUUUGAUUGUGGUGAAGAUUUGGAUAAAGUUUAUUUUUGUUGUCAAAAGAAAUUUGGUGAUUUGAUCUUUUAAAUGAGGGAUUUCUUUUAGCUGAUUAUUCUGUUAAAAUGGUUGUAGAAAGAGUUGUGGAUUUGGUUACUCAGAUUGCUUAGAAAGAGUACUUUGAUGAUUUUGCACUUUCAACAGAGCUUUUUGUCUCCGUUGGAACUCUGUUUUUGGUAUUUGUUUUGUUUGGAAGGAAGCACUGUCUUUUGGAAAUUAGUAUUAGCUUUACAAAAUGAGCCAAUUCAGCAUUGAUCGAUGAAAAUGAUCGCAAAAUGCAUUUAUUUUUUUAUAGGGUUACAAAAUAUUCCAAAAUAAAAAUAAUAAUAAUAAGUUGAUAUAUCUCAUACGCAAGAAAAUCCCAUCAAAUAAAUAAAUUAAAUGCAUAAUCUUUCAAAGCAAUAAUAAAUAUAGGGUGUUAGCUACUGGGACAAGGACUUAGUAUAGUUUGUUAAUUAAUUAUUUUAUGAUUGUAAUUUGAUUAUGAUGUAAUAAUUAAUUAUUUAAUUAAUUAUAUGAUAUAAUACUUGAUUAUUACUAUAAAAAUUUUUAAAAAAUAAUUAAAAUUUCUGAAUUCAUGCUUUGCAUGGUUAAUUUUUAUUUAUAGUACUACUUUUUUUAUAACUUAAAAUUUGUUAAAUGUAAAACUUUUACCAUUAAAUUUAGUGAAAAUACAUUUAUUUAUUUAUUAACAAAGAAUAUAAUUUAAACUUAUUUUAUUUUAUUCUUUUAAAAUAAUCAAAAAUAUUUUCAAAAUUUUAAUUGGAUUUAUUUUUAGAUAAUUUUAAAAAUAUAUUCUUUCACAUUGAUUUGAUAAUUUUGAUGUGUUUUUUUUACAAAAGUCUUAUUUUAAUUUUUAAUGAAAAUAAUUUAGUAGUAAAAGAGGAAGAUUAAAAUGUUUUAUGUGAUUUGAUUUAAAAAAAUUUUAAUUGGAUAUUUGAAUUAUAAUUUUUUUAAUUAAUAUGAUAUGCUAUUUAUUAAUCACAUGUCAUUAUUUAAAACUUAUAAGAUUAAAAGUAAAUAUCAAAUUAAUUAAUAAAUUUAUAAUUUAAAUUAUUAAAAAAUUAUAAAAUUCAAAUAUUUAGUUUUUAAUAUUAACUUAAAAAUCUAUUCAUAUAUUGAAAAUAAACCCCUAAAAAAUGAUCAAACUACCCCUCUCUUGGUGUGAUACGAAUUUGACAUAUAACCAAAUUGAUUAUUUUGCCUUCAUACCAUAAUUAAAAAAUAUCCUUUUCUUUUAUAAUUAUUUACUAUAAUACUCCAUAUCAUAAUUAUAGAAAAUUCUUCUCUUAAAUUAAUUAUUAUACUCUCAUACCAUAAUAAAAAAAAUACAUAUUCUCUUAUAAUUAUUUAUUAUAAUAUCCUCGUACCAUAAUUAUAAAAAUGUUCUUUUAUUAUUAAAUUACAAAAAUACAAUUCUCUUAUUAUUGACUCAAAUUACUAUAAUACCUUCCUGACAUAAUUAUAAAAAUACAUUUCUCAUAAUUGAUCAAAAUUACUAUAAUACUCUUUCACCAUAAUUACAAAAAUGUUUUUAUGAAUGCUUAAUAGAAAGUUGACAUGUGAUACUUUGUUUCAAAAUUAAUAACAUAUAUUAAAACAAUCUUUUUGAUAAUUAGUAUAACAACCCUUUGUUUAUUUGAUAUGAUAUCGAUAUGUAUCUAAAUUUACUAUAAUACAUUUAUAUCAUAAUUACAAAAAUACUUAUCUUUUUAUAAUUAAUUAAAAUUAUUAUAAUACUCUCUUACAAUAAUUACAAAAAUACCUCUCAUAGUAUAAUUGACUAAAAUGACUAAAGUAUGGUUCUUAAUAAAAUUACAAAAAUACCCCUACCACAAAUGGCAAAAAAUUACUAUAAUGCCUUUCAAAUGGAAAUGCUUUUAUGAGUACCUCAUAAGAAGUUAACAUGUGGUAUUUUGUUUCAAAAUUACUAUAACACAUCUAUUAAAUUAUAUAUUAAUUUUUAACUUAAUAUAAAAUUAAUCACAUAUUAAAGUAUUAAAAUAUCAUUACAAUUGGUUUAUAAAAAUUUGACAUGUGAUAUUUUAUUUAAAAAUUACUAUAAUAUCAUUAUUAAAUUACAUAUGAAAUUUUAACAUCAUAUAAAAUUAACUACAUACUAAAUUACUAAAAUACCUUGGCCGUUGCUUAAUAAAAAUUUGACAUGUGAAAUUUUGUUUUAAAUUCACUAUAAUAACCCUAUUAAAUUCUUAUUAAAUGGUAAAUAACAUAUUAAAAUAAUUCCUGUAGAAAUUGUUAUAACACCACUUUGUUGAGUUGAUGUGAUUUUGAUAUGUAUCUAAAUUUAUUAUAAUGCUUUUACAUUAUAAUUAAGAAAAUACCUUUUUUCUUAUAAUUAGUCAAAAUUAUGACAAUGCCCUUCUACCAUAAUUACAGAAAUACCAAAAUUACUAUUAUGUCAUGCUAUUAUAAUUACAAAAAUACUCCUUAUUAUAUUUAAUCAAAAUUACUAUAAUACCCCUAAUCCACGCCUACUUCACUGGAUCCUUUUUCCCAUUUAAAGCAUCAAUCUAUUUUGGUAUCAUUAAUUAUUUUCUUAUCGUCAAGGUUUACCUUUGGUUUUUCUGGAGGAUCCAAUACCAAAGUGGUACCAUGAUACUAGGAUAAAAGGCUUAUUGCAAGUAGAAUAUCGAAUUAUAAUGUGGCUCUCUGAAAUCCCUGUCCUUCCCUCCCAGGAUUUAGAAGUGAUAAAAUCCAUGUAGCGCUUCCCGGAAUUGAAAUCUUCUGGUGAAGUAUUACUUAGCCGUGCUAACUGAAGUCUUCCAACAUUUGCUCUCCUUAUGUGGGAACUAAGCUAAAUAGAGAACUCAAUUAUUUUGUUUGCUUAGAAUGGCAAGGUUAUUUUCUAAAACCUUCUAAAAAAUUGAGGUGAUAGAGGCAAAGCAGCUUAGAAGAUUUGAGGUAGAAUAAAAAAUGAGAGAAGAGUGAGCUUACCACUAUGAAUGCAAAAAUUCACCUGUGGCUGUGUUUAUUCUAAACCUUUUAGCCUUUGUUAUGUGUGCUUGAUCGUCAAUGAUGAAUUAUUACUUUCUUCCUUUAUCCUUUUUCAGGGUUUUUUUUUUUUUUUUUUGGUAUCAAUGUAAAUGAUUGUUGAUAAGCUGGCUGGCAUUUAUCUUGAUCCCUCUACCGUUUAGCUUAGGGUAAUUGUACUUUGUAAUAAUAAUAAUAAUUUUUUAAUUAUUGACCGUAGUUGAAAGUAGGCGGUAUGAACUUUACCAACACGGUAUGCUAUCCUUGUAGUCUAUGAAUUUUAAAUUGGGUUGAAGUUCAACUCAUGUCUUAUGUUCUUUUUUCUGUUAGUUAAAAGAAAAGGGAAAAAGGAAAAGCCAGUUAUGUUAUUGAUAUUCUUUUUAUGUUGUCCAGUUGGUAAAAGAGAAUUCAGUUGAGAAUAAUAUGGUCAUUACAUGUAUGUUACAGGUUUUGGAAAUCAUUUAACCUGAAAUGCCUGUAUAUAUGGUGUUGCAACGUGGAUAUCCACCAACAUCGACAGGUCCUAAGCGGAGCAAACUACUGCAAAAGAAUAAUGUAGUGAUAACAACUUCAAGUUGUGAUCUGUGUUUUCAGUUGCGAGGCUUGCGUGAUGGUGUCUCAACUCUCUCAACUAAGUUUUGCAGACCCUUGGUCAAUUUCUGGGUCGAUUGGAAUGGAAUUGGGGGAGAGGGGAGUUUGCAAAAUCCAACAGUGGCACUUUCCAAGAGAUGGUUUUGAGAACCAAACUCAGGUAAGUGAUGAAUAUUGAGUUGAACAUUCCAAAAGAUUUGGGUUUCAGUGGUAUUCUAGCCUUUCCUCUUCUCAAUACAAUCGAUUUGAUCCAUUUUUUACAAAAAUAACAAUACCUUACGCAAAGAGGCUAUUUUUUACAAAUAUAACAUUCUCUUACAAAUAGAGUUGUGCAUGAAUAAGUUGGAUCAAAUAAAAUAAAAUUCGAUUGAUACUUUUAAGUAGAAUUGAUAAUUCAUGUUAUUGUAUUAUGUAAAAUAUUAUAUUUAUAUCAUAUUUUAUAUGAAAAUAAUAUAUUACAGUUUUAGAAAACAUAAAAUAUAAUUUUUUAAUUUUAUUAAAUUUAUUUAUAAUUUUUUAAAAAAAUUUAAAUUAUAUUAUUUUUAUAUCUUUUUGUUGUAUCGUAUUUUAAAAUGACAAAUUUACUUUUAAGUCUAGGAUCUAUCUGACCCAUCUAUUUAUAUCCAAAUCAAUCAUUUUUACUGUUUAAAAAUAUUAAAAAUUAUUUCUAUAUUAAUAAUUUUAAUAUGUUCUAAAAUAUUUGAAUUUCAAAUUUAAAUAAAAAUUAUUUAUUACCGUAAAAAUAAUCCAUUGUUGCCCAAAAAAAAAAAAUCCAGAUCAAGUCAAGUAAAACCUGACCCUUAAAAUCCAACUCCAAUGAAAUUCGAUUAGAAAUUAAACUAUCAUUUUAUACCAAAAGGUUUGUCUUGCAAAUUUUAGUUCGGUUUUUAGAACUUCUUUGUCAUGUAACAUUUAUACACAACAAUCUAAUUUCCCUAUCUUCUCAACUUAUAUUCUCACCAAAAAAACAUAUAUUAAAACAAAUCCAGAAAGGGAACCAUCCGAACCUGAAUUUUUACUGUAACAUCAAACAAUCUGCUCCUUAGAAAUCAACUCUAGGCUUGAUUUUGUAACAACCAAACUGUGAUCCUUUUUUAAGGCUUUAUGAAAGGUGCUUGGUCAAAAAUUUGCACCCGGGUCGUGUGUGAAGAAUUAUAAGUUGUCCAUUUACACUGUAAUUAACUAAUUAAGUUUACCUUAGUAAAUCAAAAUUCAUGAAUUCAUAAAUUCUGAAGAUUGGACAAUCCUCAUUAGCUACUUCAAAUUUGCGAGCACAUGUCACGGUCGUAAGCUCUUGAUGCCGAUGAAAUUCAAAAGUUGCUCUAUAUCCUGCAAACACAGGGAAGACUUUUGUGAAUUCAUUUCAAAAUGAAUAUUUGAAAAUAUAUAUAUAAUUAAAAUGUCAUGCAUCUCAACAAACAUUUUUUUGUACAAAAAAAAAAAACCCUGUAGCCUAAAAAUAGAGAAAGAACUUGUAGGUACUAAAUUUUGAAUCUAAUAUCUGUUAAAUGUCGCUUAUGACUGCAUAAACCAAUUGAUUUAACUCAAGAAACAUUUUGCAAAAAGGAACAUUGACUAACUCUUAAAACAUUAGUACAACGAAUUAAGACAAGGAUGAAUGCUAGCUUGACCCAUUGAGAUUUGUCACGCACCCAUACAUUCAUAUGAAUAUGAAGUUGGUCACAAAUAUACAUUUCUAACCCAUUUGCAGUAUGUUGGCCUUCUAUGCUCAGAUAACAAAAUUUAAAUUCCUUAACAGAUAAUUAUAAGGUUAGUAUGUGUUAGUCUCAUUUGAGAAGUAUCCACUCUUUCUCUACUUUUGUUCUUCUUUGCAAACCCCUUUUAACCUAAAAUGAUAUUUGGCCUUAACCAUAUUCAGUAAAAUAUAAAUAGACCAUGGAGACAAGCAACUUAAUCUGGUCUACCAAUGAUUGACUGAACUCCCUUCUAUAUAAGUGUUCAGGUUUAAUGCUUGCUAUAUUUGAAAUUGAUUAACAACAUCAUAAAAACUUCAAUAGUUAGUUACCAUAAAAUGGCAAUUUCUUUCAUUAAAAUGUUACAAAUAUCAGAACAGCUAGAAGAUAUACAAUGGUAAAACAAGUAAACAAGCAGAAUGUUACAUAUGGGUUUACACUUGAUACACUAAUGUAACAAUUACAGUGGAUUUGGGAAACUAUUUCCGAUUAAGGAGUUGGGAAUAGAAUUAUUUAUAUGAAAACAAAGAUUAAAAUUUUAAAAGAGAAGGGACAUAAGAGGAGAAAGAGAAGGGACCAAAAUUGGAACUCAAAUAAUUUCCAUGUUUCCCAAUUAGCCUUUGAUAAUUUAGGAGACAGGAGAUUUUGAGUGCUAUUGGAUGUAAGGUCUGACCAUCAUCAUGGUUUUUCCUAUUUAGUGAAUAAUCCUAUAUCAGACAUUUAAGAAUAAGGACUGAGCAAAUUAAAAUUCAUUGAUGUGCAAGAAUUAGAUUAUUAGAACAAACAGUAAACUUAGAAAAGAUAAACCACAUAGAAAGUUAGAAGCAGUGCAAACUUAUUACAAUAAUGCAAGUGGAUUAUAAGUGAGCAUUUCUCCUUAAGGAAUUUGCAACUAAGGCAUUAUAAACAAAAGAGAAGAAAAGAAUAAACUUCUGGAAAGAAUUUUCAAAGUAGGGAAACAAGGGAAGAGGAAGAGAAAGGGCCAGAAACUGGAAAAACAAAAGUUUGGUCAUUACCUUUCCCAUUUAGAUGUUUAGCAGAGUUAUGGGGAAUGGGAUUUGAGUGCCAGACCUCUUUUAGACGUAAGGUGCGGCUAUUAUCACAUUUUUCAAAUCUGUUGAUAAUCCUUCAUCUCAUCUCAUAGUUAAAAAUAAGGAUUUCAUGUUACAUUCUGAUAGAGCUGGUGACAUUUAUAGAUUGUCUUAAGAGCCUAUUCCCUGAAACUGGAUGAAAUUAAAUACAAAAUCUACGGACUUUUCAACCAUGAUGAUGAAUCUUGAUUAGCCACCGCCAACAACAUAAUAUGACUUGUAAAGGCCGAAAACAAACAAGCACUCUUUUUCAAAGCUGUGGAUGCACAGCAUCUUAUAGUAACUGUAAAGGACAAGCAAACUUUGAAGAGGUUUGAAUCCAAUAACAUACAUAAAAAAAUGCAAAAGAAGAAUAAUUCACCAAAAAAAUGAUAGCAUUUGAAAACUCACCUUGUUCAACAAGAAUACUGCAUAUGCUGCUUUUGUUGUGUCUUGACCUUCUAAAAACAAUGGAAAUUCUGCAGGCUUUACAUUUGCAGAAAGUGAUGUAUUCCAUGACAAAUCAGAAGAUGUAGGCUCUACUGAAGGUGCAUGGUUGUUAAUGUAUGAGUGGGAACCACCCAAGCGCAGAGGAUAACGUAAGGGAACUUGUAAAUAGGAUGCAAUUAGUGAAACAGCCUGUAAAUGAAGAAUUAGCGAGAAACAAGAAAGAAUAAUUAGGUAUAAUUAAAAUUAUUGCCUCAGCAAGAGAAACAAGCUAUCAAGACUGUGCCCAAGAUACUAUAUUUCCAUUUAAGCAACAUAAAAUAACAGCAUUAUCCUUGAGCAACAAGGGAUUGUAGGUGGUAUAUACAAAACUUGAUGCCUAUAGCUUGAUAUUAUCAGAAAACAAAUUCAGUAAUAAAGGAUAACUUUAUAUUAACCAAAGGAAUAGAACUCACAUGUCCAACAUAUCCUAAGGCAGUUGCAGAUCUCUGAACCUCCUUUUUGCCAGUGAAAAAACUCAUCUUUGUAAAAGGAAGCAUGGCGAGAUUCAGACCUAAAAUCAUCAAGGAUCCUUGGUUAAUGGGCUUAGAUACAGAAGAAUUCCUUGGUGAAGACAACAACAAAAGGAACUUGGCAUCAGCAUCAACAAAAGGAACUUAGAUACAGAAUAUUCAAUUAAAUAUAAUGUAAGUACAAGAUAUCCAAAAACUCCAUAAUAUCUAAAACCCGAAACUAUUAGCACGUUACCUAGUGUACUACUGCUUGGAUAGGAUUCAAGUUCUUGCUCUUGUGUGGAUCCAACCAAGAUUUUUACGGGAUAGAGCAAUGAAACUUGUGAUACCAUAUAUUGUUGCCUUGCUCGAAGCUUCCUAUGCACAUUUUUUAGCUUAAUGUCCCUUUCUUCAGUGAGUAAUCCAUUUGAUUCCUGUAAUAAAAUCGUCAGACAAUCAAUCAUGCAAUUUAUGAAAUAGUACUGAAUAUAUGAAAAAGAAGGGAAAGAAAUAAGAGCACAAGAAGGGAAUAAUCCCCGACUAUUUCAAGGAAUUUAUAGAAUGAGAAUCCUUCCCAUCUAAUCCCCCCCAUGCACCUCUACCCAGGGUGUAAGGGGGGAAGAGAGAGAGGAUUUCUUGCAUUAGAGGGGAGAAUAUCUAACAUCUAAAGCUAAAUAAGCAAAUAACUUCUAAAUUAUCAUAUAUUAAACCUUCCUCAAAACAUCAAAUGAAAUUCCAAAGAUAACUGACAUUUCAAGUGAGAACAAAAAUAUUUCACCUGCAAUUGCUUCUUUGCUACAGAAAGAGAGAUACCAGCAACCAACAGUGAUUCACUUCAGCACUAAGCAUUUCCUCCUGUUUUUUAGCAUCCUCUGUUGCAACCAUGCAACGAGUUAACAUGUUUCCCAUAACUAAUUUUCUUGCAUCUAGUCUUUCACGCAUUACCUCCAGCUCAUUCAGUUGAUUCAAUGACUCAGUUUUGACCUGCACAGCAUUUUCCCAUGCGCUAAUCAGCAGGCCAAUUAAUUAGGUCCAAUAUAUCCCACCAAAAGAGAUUGAGAGAAGAUGCUAAAAAAUUUCGUGCAGACAAAACAAUAUCAAAUUACAAACUCCAUCUGUUCCUUCAACUGUUGUAUGUCUUUCUUAAUUCAACUUUUUAGAUCUCCUAAUAUUUAAUGAAAAAAGGAAAAUGCAAAUGCAAUGCGUUAUCCACUUUUCAAUGGUAUGUUUGAAUUACAAUAUAAAACAAUUUAAGGGACCUAAAAAACAGAGAAGUGGAAAGAAAAGAUAAAAGGGAAGAAAAGAAAUUAAAUGGAAGCAAUAUAUAAAUCUGGUACAAAUGGCAACAAACCUUGGAAUAAAAGGGCUGUGGGCCAAUUAAGUGAAGGCAUCCAGCCAAAUUCAAUAUUUAAGAUUUUGUUAAGGAAAAAGUUCAAUUAUCCAAGGCAAUUCUCUUCUCUUUUCUUCCGAUAAAGCUUAAGUGAUAAUUCUUCUUUCUCCUAUUCUUGGUGAAACAUUUAUACAACCCAACAGAAAUCAUAGUACUCCAACUAAAAUUAGUGGCUCUACCAAUUUCACCAUCUACACUGUCCAACAAGUUGACAAUUAAGUGAAGACACCAGAAGUGAAGACCCAGAAAUCUAUUUUCUUCGCUGCUCUAGGGCUAAGAGCCUAUCAGCUGUCAAACACAGCUAAUAAAAGUCCAGUGGGAAAAAAAUUAUAUAUACAGAAAACUAUAACUUCAUCCUACCAUUCUUCAAAAUAACAACAGUUGAGCCAUAAACAUAAAAAUGAUUCCAUUAUUAUGGUUCCUUUCCCCACCUAAAACUCCUUAGAAAAUUUACUGCACCUUACUACAUCUAGAAUCCAUAAAACCUCUAAAUUUUUAUUUCUCUAGUUGAUCCCACUGCUUUAGAACUUUUCUUCUUCUAUUCUUUUUCUUUUUCCUUGGGAAAACAAUUAACAUAAAAACUGAAUUACUACUCCAAAGUUCUACAAAUUCAGCAAUGCGCAUUUAUCUUUCACACAAUCCACUACCAGUCAACAAACAAAAUCCCAAAUUUCCUUUCCCAUUAAAACCCCUAUUUCUCUCUUCAAAUUCAGGUUACAAACAAAAAAUUCGAAACUGAUGCACUAAAAACAACAUAAUUCUCCCAAAUAAUAUAUUUUUUAACCAAAUUUUAAUCAGAAAACGCCUUACCUGAAUAAGUGACUGGAGUUUUUCUUGAAGACUUUUCUUCUUAUCAUUGGAUUCUUUAAGGGCAGAAGUUAAACUCCACAAUCUAGCAAGCUUAUGCUCGAAAUCUUCCCAUUCAAUUACUAGCACAUCUUCUUCUGCUGCAUUGAUUUCCUUCGGGUCGAUAAUUAGGGUUUUGUCUCGGUCCCGUUGUUCUGGAUUUCCAUGAAAGAAUUGAAGAGGAAAGCUCUCGAUUUUGGGAGUUUAAGAAGAAGCCAUAGGUCGACCUCAUCGUACAACGUCUCGCCGGAUUAGAGUUGUUUUUUUUUUUAUUGUUUUAGUUUCAUGACAAUCGAAUCAUAUUGUCGGGAAAAAUUAUUUUCCAGGGAUCAUUUUCACCGGAAAUUGCAGGGGUAAAACAAGAAUAGGAAUUUUGGGUGUUUUUGUCUGUAGAAAGUCAACGUUGACGGAGAAUCACAGGUGUUGGUAAACGGAGGAUUUUUCCUUGUUGAGACUGAUAGGCUAUUCUCUGCCUACAAUUAUCUUUAUGGCAGGUUAAAUCAUUUUAAUACUAAUUAAAAUAUUCAUUGGUCCUUGAUCUCGUCUCUCUCACUGUACUCUAACUCCAUCUUUCAUUUCACCUUCCCUUUCAACGAAAAAAAAAAAAACCUCGAUUCCAAUGUUGAAAUGGUAAGGAAGCGAGUACCUGUUCCAGCGCCUUUUUCAAUGGGUGGUGUUUUCUUUCGUGCAAAACUUUUUUUUAACGAUGCCAAUUUAUACAAAAAAAAAAAAAAAAAAAGAUUGAGAUAAAUACAUGGAGUAAAUCAUAAGAUAUAUUUAUUAGGUUCGCAAUAGGUGGUGUUGGAAUGAAUUUUUAUUUAUUUUGAAUUUAAUUUAAUUUUAUAUUAUUAAAUUUAAAUUUAAUUUGAUUUAAAAUUUUUUAAAUUUUUUAUAUUUGAUUUAUAUAGUAUAAAUCGAAUCUGAUUCAAUCUUACUUAAAAUUAAUAAAAUAUUAUUUUUUUAAUAUAAAAUAUUAUUUUUUGAAAUAUAAAUAUUUAAAUAUAUAAUUAUAUAAAUAUAUAUAAAUAAAAAAUUAAAUAAUUAAUUAAAAAUAAUUUUUAUACAAAUUUAAUCUAACUCCGAUUUUUUUUUAGCUUUAUCUAAUGACUUAAAAUUUGAUUUUUAAAAAAAAAAAAUGACCUUAUGAUGUCAGAUCGAAUAAAAACCUGUCGAAAACAAGAUAAACUGAAUUGUCAACUCUAAGAGCUAUGAAAAAAUUUUUAAAUUAUUAAUAUAAGUUUUACAAAUGAUAAAUUAUCCUUAAAAAAAAUAAUGUUUAAAAUUUGAUUUUAAUUGAAUUAAUUNNNNNNNNNNNNNNNNNNNNNNNNNNNNNNNNNNNNNNNNNNNNNNNNNNNNNNNNNNNNNNNNNNNNNNNNNNNNNNNNNNNNNNNNNNNNNNNNNNNNNNNNNNNNNNNNNNNNNNNNNNNNNNNNNNNNNNNNNNNNNNNNNNNNNNNNNNNNNNNNNNNNNNNNNNNNNNNNNNNNNNNNNNNNNNNNNNNNNNNNNNNNNNNNNNNNNNNNNNNNNNNNNNNNNNNNNNNNNNNNNNNNNNNNNNNNNNNNNNNNNNNNNNNNNNNNNNNNNNNNNNNNNNNNNNNNNNNNNNNNNNNNNNNNNNNNNNNNNNNNNNNNNNNNNNNNNNNNNNNNNNNNNNNNNNNNNNNNNNNNNNNNNNNNNNNNNNNNNNNNNNNNNNNNNNNNNNNNNNNNNNNNNNNNNNNNNNNNNNNNNNNNNNNNNNNNNNNNNNNNNNNNNNNNNNNNNNNNNNNNNNNNNNNNNNNNNNNNNNNNNNNNNNNNNNNNNNNNNNNNNNNNNNNNNNNNNNNNNNNNNNNNNNNNNNNNNNNNNNNNNNNNNNNNNNNNNNNNNNNNNNNNNNNNNNNNNNNNNNNNNNNNNNNNNNNNNNNNNNNNNNNNNNNNNNNNNNNNNNNNNNNNNNNNNNNNNNNNNNNNNNNNNNNNNNNNNNNNNNNNNNNNNNNNNNNNNNNNNNNNNNNNNNNNNNNNNNNNNNNNNNNNNNNNNNNNNNNNNNNNNNNNNNNNNNNNNNNNNNNNNNNNNNNNNNNNNNNNNNNNNNNNNNNNNNNNNNNNNNNNNNNNNNNNNNNNNNNNNNNNNNNNNNNNNNNNNNNNNNNNNNNNNNNNNNNNNNNNNNNNNNNNNNNNNNNNNNNNNNNNNNNNNNNNNNNNNNNNNNNNNNNNNNNNNNNNNNNNNNNNNNNNNNNNNNNNNNNNNNNNNNNNNNNNNNNNNNNNNNNNNNNNNNNNNNNNNNNNNNNNNNNNNNNNNNNNNNNNNNNNNNNNNNNNNNNNNNNNNNNNAGUACCCUCAUACCAUACUUAUGAAAAUAUCUUUUUUCAAAAUUACUAUAAUGCUUCUUAUAUCAUAAUUACGUAAAUAUCUUUAUGAGUGCUUUAUAAGAAGUUGAUAUAUGACAUUUUAGUUUUAAAAUUAUUCUAAUAUCCAUAUUAAAUUACGUAUUAAAUUUAAUAUAUUAUAAAAUUAACUACAUUAAAUUAUUAAAAUACUCUUAUCAUUACUUUAUAAAAUUUAAUAUGUAUCAUUUUAUUAAAAAUAAUUAAAAUUAAAUGAUCAAAUAAACUAAAUAAUUAUAAUUUUAUUAAAAUGAAAAAAUUAAAUAAUUUUAUAUUUAAAAAUAAAAAAUAUUUAAUCCUCAAUAUAGUGGCGAUCGCACGCUAGUCUAACAUCAAAAACACCCACAACACCAAAAUACAAAACUUCUCCCCUCCGCCUCCAACCUUUCUAACGGCUCAGUCACGCGCGCCAAACAAAAGCAUCCCUGAACCAAAAUUUUACCCCCCAAAAAAUAAAUCUCUUCUCUCUCACUCGUCUCCUCAGCCGUCUCGAUAUUCUCAUUUUUUUUCUUCUCCACUUUGAAAAAAAAAGGCCUUUCUUCACUUAUUUUUCUAAUAUCUCUCUCUGUCUCUCCCGAUGACUUAGCCGCCUUCCAUUGCCGGAACCCCAAAGGGCAAUAGCUGGGACUCGUAAAAGGGGAGGAAACAAAGCAAAAGUUAAGAAUUUAAGUUUAGGAGAUCUUGUUCUUGCCAAAGUCAAGGGUUUCCCUGCUUGGCCUGCCAAGGUCUCCUCCCUUUUAUUUGAUUAUUAUUGCUACUUUUUUUUAUCCUGAAUUAUGGGUAUUUUAUAUUUUGAUGAUUAUAUUUUUAAUUUCUUAUAUGUUUAUUUGAACUUAUGAAUUUGAAUAAAUCCAUGAUGAGUUUGGGAUUUUUUUUUUUUUAAGUUUUGCAUGAUGUAGGUAAGUUUCUUUUAUGCUUACAUUGUCUUGCUUUGUAUUUUAUUUGUUGGUUUUGUACUCAAUUUGUUUCCUUUAGUAAAUUUUGUUUUAUUUUGUGAAAGGCCUAUUUUUGGAGUUAAAAGUUUUGCCAUGCGUAUGUUAGCUGAUUGUGUUUUUAGUGUUUCAGGUUUGGUACUUUGCCUGUUUAUCAAUUGGGUUACUUAAUGCAACUAUGCAAGUUCUUUAUUUUGGGUCUGAAAAAAAA
rnacentral:lncRNA from 1 species